rnacentral:lncRNA from 1 species
CUUUGUGUUAUAGGUCAUGCUCCACGAUUUCUAAAAUCUAUAGCAUUAACCCUUCUACAAUCCAAAUUUCCUCUUCGAAUGUUUUUAGAUCCCUUACCUCCACCUUUUGCUGGACUCCAAGUUUCAAACCUCGUAGAAAUCGAUCCAUUAUCUCUGCCUUUGAAAUAUUGUUAAUUUAGAGAUAUAAGGACUUGAAUUAGGAGACAUAAUCUUAUAUAGACCUAGCUUGUGUAAGAUUUAUUAAGUAAUUACAUGCUAUCUUCUCCACAUUGAUGGACCGAAAUUGAAUCUUAAACUCAAUCUUAAAUUCUUCCUAGUCACAAAAUCUACCUUGAGCUCUAUAACUUUAAACUUGAUGUUGCCACCAAAUAGCUGUAGCAUCUUUCAAAUAGUUGGCUGCAUAUAUAAUUCCUUUAGUGGUAUUUGUCCCAAAUAAUUGGAGAUAUUGUUACAUAUUUAAGAGCCAUUGACAUACAUCUUCUUGUCUUAGAGUUCUAGAGUAUGUACAAGUCUUACUCGAUUUUAACUUAACAGAUGUCGACUCUAUUAUCUUUGAGGCUUCUAUUUGCCCUUUCAAAGUAGCUAUCUAGCUUAAGAGGUGUUGUAUUUGAGCCUCUAUUUGGGAUUGCUUUGCCAUAUCUUCCAUAUUACAAUUUUUCUACUGAACUCUAUUAUUGUAAUGUCUUUUCACCUCCCAAUUGACUUUUUAAGAGUAGCUUGUGAUAGCCUCAACACAGUACUUAGUGUGACCACAACAACCAACCUUGGACUAAAUAUUGACUAUUGACAUGCUACCAAAAGUAAACAAUCUAACACUUGCUUUGAUACCAAUGAAAUAUAAUUAGACUAACUCAAAAAUCCAAGAUCCUUUCAAUCUAAAACAACAUAAGACUUCUUUACAAAAUAUGACAUAACAAAGUAGAAAAAAAUUGAAUGGAAUUAAACAGAAUAGGACAUAAAAGCCAAAACUGAGCAAAUAGAAAUAGAACAGAACAGAUCUGAACAGAAAGAUGUAAAAUCAAACUUUAUUAACAGAAAGGGUUUAAAGCCAUAUCUAACUACGUGCCUCAAAAAGCCCUGGCCAGUUCUAUUUAUAUCUUAUCCUAUUAUCCUAAACUUUCUAGAAUAUUCUUACGUAGUAGGUCCCACCUAUAUAUCCAUCUUAAAUAUAUUUUUUAGAAGGUUCUAUGGUAGAUCCUACCUAAAUUAUUGCCCUAAAUCCUUUCUAGAAUGUUCUACUAUGGAUCCUACCUAAUUUGCUAACCUAAUCCCAAUUCUAGAAACUUCCAUGGUUUUAAUUAGUUAUAUAAUUAUCUUAUCUAUAUUCUGCUACAAUUGGGCUAGGAAAGGGAGAAGGGGGCUAGGAAUGGGGGAUAGAAAGUAGGAAUGGGGUCGAGAAUAGAUAUGAGUCACCAAAUUGACUCAUGGUUUAUUUUAGGAUAAAAGAAGGCAAUAGUCGUGCCAAGUGGGAAUUAUUAGUUGAAGAUGAAUGUAGAGGAUGCGAAAUGAAUACAAAAUAGAGUUUGUGGAUUAUUUCUAGUUAAUUGUAGAAAUAAAGUCUAUAUAUUCAACUCUAUAUAGGAUACAAUAUAGAGUUGAAUAUAUAAUAUAAUAUAAUAUAUAGCAGCAUAUAAGGUAGAACAUACUGUAGAGUAGAUAGUAGAGAUAUGAAUACAGUAUCUAUAUAGGGACCAUCGUACACUGGAUAUAUGGCAGCUAUUUGUGACUGGAUACCGGGCUCCCUUGGAUAUUGAAGCAGGCAUCAACGUCGGCAGGGAUCGACCCUCCACAUCCUGGCAGGUGAGUCUAGAUGCAAGAAGCAGCAUCUGCACGAGUCUGAUGAACUGCUAGAUUUGCUCUCUUCUUUUUGUUUUCAUUUUGCUGUGGAGAUCUACGAUGGCUUCGGUACUCCUUUCAUGGUCGUGUGCCAGCUGCAGUGCAGGCUUGGUUUUUUCCUUUCUUCCUGGUUUUGUUUUGUUUUCUCCGAGUUCCGCGAAGCGCGGACUGUGUUGCAGGGAGCUGAGCUUCGAACAUUUUGUGCUUCGAUGUUGGUCUUUCACGCGCAACGGUGCUGCAGCGUGGUUCUUCUUCUUAGUCAGUAGAGUUGUCCGUGCGGAGCUAGUGCGUUCUCUGGAAAGGAGCUGAAUGCAGCACUGUCGCUGGGCCUUUUUGGGCUACGAGAUCGGCGAUUGAUAAUCACUACCUACGGUGUUGGCUACUGUCUUACUACUGGUUGUUAAAUUCUACAGUCAACACACUCUGCAUCGUGGAUUCCUCUCUCUCGUUUUGGUUGCAGUGCUCACAUUUUGAGCCCGGCAUUCUGCGGUGUGUUUUUCUCUCUUGCGCGUGGCUGUGCUCUGCCUCCUUGUUUUCUUUUUUCCUUUCUUGUACUUGUUCAAGGUUCGGAGCUCCCGUCGGCGGUGAGGAGUGCGGUAGUGCUACAAUACAGCGACGGCAGUGAAUUGGCGGCAAGGCGUUGUGUGAUCAGUACCAAGGACUGGCGGUAGAGUGCGGAAAAAAUCAAUCAGAUCUUGUUUCCCUUCGUUUAGUAGCGUAGCUGGAUUUUGUAGGGGAGGUUGUCAUCAUACAUGAGCGAGGUGCCUUACUAAAAACUUCGAUCUACAUUUGCACUGGGCUUUGUCAUCAGUGGGACCAUCUUGUGAUAAUUAAAGACUUCGGCGACCCACGCAGCUGGCGGAAGAGUCUUGCUGUUUCGAAGGAUCUUACCCUCCUAGUGGUGCUUCAACUUGCUUGAACUGGUUCCUCAUGCUGUAGUUUAGGUAGCUGAUCCUUCGAGCAUUUUCUUCUCAGAGCAUGAAAAAUAUUGGAUUUUUGUGCUUAGAACGAUCAGGGAACCUACCUUGUCAUCUUCUAUUAGAAGUAUAGGCUGAAUUUUAAGGUAACAGAGGUAAGGCAUCUGGCUGAGCGUGAGGCCACGUCGUAGAGGUGGACGCGCAGCUGCAUAUUGUGGAUACUAGGAAAACAACUAAGAGUCGUUGCAUUCACCUGCACAUUAAUAGACUAGAUCAUAGAAGUGUAGAGAAUAUGCAGUGAUGGAAUUAGCAGUGGGCGACUCGUCCGCUGAGUUGUAGGAGAAGAAUCACGGCAUUAGUGACUUGCGAGGAGCUUCUCCCUUACAAAAAGAGUUGCGGAAGGAGAUGCCUAAGUGAGUCCUUGAACCACAACUGUGAAGUCCAUGCCAUUGGCGAAAGAUCAAGAUUGUUGCCUCGAAAUUCCAAAGGUACUCGACCCUGACCUUGGUGGAUCAGCUCCAGAGUGGUAGACGAAGAAAUUUGAACAUCUCCGAUGGUUCGGAGAUACCAAGUGGAGUAGCUCCGGAAGGAUCAGAGGCCUCAGCAAGACGUUACUGGUUAGAGAAAGAAAAACCACAAUGGAAUAGAAGUUGUAGGAUGAUUUAGAUUAAACAAGCACUCAAUUAGGGUUGAAUGAAUUAGAAUUUUGGAUGUAAAUACUAGAUGUUGGAUCAAAAUUAAUCAAGGAUGAACUUCACUCAAUUUGGAUGAUAGUUUGUGGAUGAAAACUGUGUAAGGUUGGAUGAUUUCUCAUUUGUGGAUGAAAACUCAUUUAAUUGUGGAUGAAUGUUUAUUACUAGACAAUCAAAAAUUAAAACAAAAUCAUAUUAAAUUAAAAAUUAAAUUAAAUACAUAUAUAUAUAUAUAUAUAUAUAUAUAUCUUUCAAGUGUGGUGUUUUUUUGAAUUGUUUAAGUUGUAAUAUUGUUGUUUGUGGUUGGUUGAGUGUGAAUUUAUAUGGCUAGAUAACUUAAGUUCUUUUAUGAAGAAAUAGGAGGAAAUUUCAUGUAACUAACUUAUAUCUUAAUUAAUAUUUGUGAGCUAGAAUAAAUCACCUAUUUGAGGCAUUUAUUUUAACUCACAUUUAGAUGAUUAUAGAACUUCGUGGACAUUUAAUCAAAUGCUAAUAGGAACUUAUUAGAAACUUUAGAUAAUUAAAAUUGUUGUGAACUAGGAUAGACUUCUAGUUAGCAGGGUUUAUUUUACUUCAAAAUAGUAAUAUAAUUAAUUUUUCAAAAAGCCAUGCAAGAUAAAAAUAAAUAUUAAUAGAAGAAAAAAAAAUCUUUGUAAGAAUUAAAUAUGAGAUGUACUAUAAUUUUUUAUUAAAAAAAAAGAAAAAAAGAGAAAAGAUAUCUAAAAAAUAAUAAAUAAAUAAAUAAAUAAAUAAAUAAAUAAAAUUAAAAUAUGCAGAAUAAAUUAUAGAAUUAGAUUGAUAAUAAAAAAUUAUAAUAAAUAAAAUUUACUAAUAUUUAAAAAAUCUUUUUUUGUUAUAAUAAAAAUAUUUAUAUUUUUAUAAUGUUAGCAACAUCUAUACAUUAUAAUUUUGGAAGUUGAGCAAUUAAAUGUUAUAAUUAUUUUUUAAUAUAAAUAAUUAAAAUAUUAUAAAUAAAUGCAUCAAGUUAAAACUUUUAAAAGUCUUAGAAAGUAGAUACUUGUACCUAUGCUAAAAGAAUUCACUAUAUAAAUUAAAACAAAGCUCCAAAUAAUAGUUCAAGAAAUUUGAUGUUUUUAUAAUAAAAGAAGAAUAUAUAUAGAAUAAAUUUAAUUUUUUAGUAUAUUUUUAAAAAUUAAAAAAUACUAAGUUAUAUAAUUAUAUAACCUUUAUAUUGUAUGUAUAUUAAUCUUAAGCUCAAUUUCUAAAUGAAAACCAAAUUAAUAUCAAUGAUAAAAAAUAACUCCACAAAGAUAAUGUUAUUUUUUUAACAUAUGCCAAUAAACAAGUUUUAUAAAAAAGAUAAAAUUAAAAUAUUAAGUUGAAUCUUAGGGUCUAAAAAAAUUAAAUUAUCUUGAUACUAUUUUUAAAACUUUUUAAAAGAAUUCUUAAAUAAAAAUAGAACUUUGGGAUUUCUAUAAAGAAGAUCCAAAGUAUAAACAACUAACUAAUCUAUUGAACUACUUAAAAAUACAAAAAUCUCUUCUAUUAAAACUAAUUCAAAGAAUAAAUUUGCUACAAAAUAAAUAUAGCCAAAUAUAUUUUCUAUUACCAUAGAUAUAGCAAUUUUUGUAAUUUUUGUAACAAUCAUCUCUUUUCUAUCAUCACUUAGAAAGUUCUAUGUUUUCUUAAUGUAAUUUUAAAGACCAAAAUCACAUACAUGAAGGGCAUUUUGACCAACCAAAAGUUUAUACUUGAUAGUAUUAAUAGCUAAAUACUUGAGAAAUAAGUAUAAGUAAAAUAAUCUAGAGCCAACAUAAAAUCUUAAUUUUUAUGGCCUAAUAGUAUAAUUUAUAGCAUAUUAUGUAUUUUAAAUUAAUAUAAUAUUUAUACCUAAAUAAGACUUAAGAUUUGAAGAGUAUACAUAUAACUCAUGGACAAGUCAUUUAUCAACCAUAAUUAGUUAGGCACUUGAGUCUAUAAUCACAUUCAAUGAUAUAAUAUAAGUAGCAUUAUUACUCAUAUAACCAACAAUCAAUACAAUGAUGUCAUUAACUAAUUGUACCACUCUUAGUUUUAAAUAUCAUUAUUUUUUUGCAGUCUCAAUUUUAAUAUGAAAUAAAAAAGUCUUUUUUUUAAACUAAUAAAUCAUCUAUAGAAAAAAUGAAUUCAAUCUAAUUAAAAAAAAAUUAUGUAAAAGGCUAAAAUAACUUUUAGAAUUUGGUUUUUUUACAUUAAUUCUAAAAAAUAGUGGUUUUAAAAAACUUUGUCAACAAAAGUAUCAAUAAAAUCUAUAGAAAUAAUUUCUCCAAUAUAUCUUAAUAAGAGAUAGAAAAUCUAAUUUGAUUGACUAAUAUUUAGUAAAUUAUAUAAUAAUAGUAAUUAAAAUUGAUUAAUAUGAUCAAUUAUAUUACUUUAUCAAGAUUAUACUUUAAUUUUAUUUCAAUUCCUAUCUUUUUAUUAUGAUUACUUAUAACAAUUCUUUUGUUAGAGUUUUUUUUCUUAUUGUUGCCUUAUGCCUCAAGUUUAUUGUUGAGGUCAUCUAUCUUUUUUUUUUUGUGAUAUUUAUGCUUUUUAAUUUCUUUAUGAUUUUUUUUUUUUAGAAUUUUUAGAAUUUUUUUAUUAUCAAAUUAUCUUUUUUAUUUUGUGAUCCUUGAAUAUGAAAAUCACCUUGUUAUGAUUGUUUCUCCUAUCUUCUUAUUCCAUUUUCUUAUUUUUUUCUAUCUUUAGUUUUUGUCUUAUUAUCAAGUUUUUUUUUUGUCUCCUAUACAUGUAAAAAUCUAUCAAGGAUAUGAAUCUUAAAGAACUAAAAGAUUAUUACAUUCUUAUGUUACUCAAAAAGGCAAAAAAAUCACUCAAAGAGGCUAUAAAAUGACUUGAAAAGGCUAUAAAAUUGCCUACAUAUAUACUAUUUAAUUAAAAUCUGUGUGGCAACAUUCCAUAGGACCUCCAAUACAUGUCAAAUUAUCAAGAUACAUGUCUUAACUUGCAAGGCAAUUUUCUUAUAUAUGCACCACAUUGCUAGCUUGUACUACAAGUUAUCAACAUACACAACAUGUAGCUAAUUUAAUGAUCAAGUUUUUGAUCUACCAAUCACUUGUAGACACAUAUAAAAGUGAAACCAUGUUUAUAAAGCUUCUAAGAAGUUUUUUUACAAGAUAUUAUUAAAUUAAUUUAUUUUUAUUUAUUCAUAAUAUCUAAAUAAUUAUAAGAAUUAAUAUGUAUGUUUGUGAUAUUACCCUCCUUUUUAGAAAUGAGUUCCAUAAAGAGUGGUGAUUACAUAUUAAAGAAGUCUAAGUUGUGAAAAAUUAUAUUUGCCACAUACUUUGAUCUUUGUUCUCUUUGAAGGUAACUGAUAGGUCCUCUCAGCUAUCAAUAAUACCAAAUUCUAAGACAUGAAGUUCACCUUGUCAUUUGAUCAUUGAUAAGGACUUUGUAACUUCUUUCAAAUAAAACAUUUGUAAUACCAUCAAGAGUCAUUCCUACCUCCAAUAAAAUUAUCAAAUAUCAAAAGUCUCUUCCAAAGUUGUGAAAUCAAACAUAUUAUAUUGUGCCAUGUAUUCAAGGAAGAACAUGUCAUUCUUAAAGGUCUUCAUUUCAAUUACAUCAUCUUGAAGGUUGUAAUAAUCACAAUGUUUCAUCCAAUAACUCAACAAACAAUGGUUUUUGAGUAGAAUAUAUUGGCUAUUAAUUUUCUAUCUAUUUAGUGCCACAAAUACAUAGAAACUACAAAUAAGAAUAAAUAAUCAAGUGCAAUCUUUCUUGAACUAUAAUUCUUUUAUUGCAAAGAUUUACUAUUUUUUAUCUUCAUUUUUUUGGAUAUUAUUGAUAAAAAAUAUCAACAUUUUUUACUAUAUUUGUAAGACUCUUAGAUGGCUUCCAUGUACAUUCACUAAUAUCAUAUUUAUAUGAAUGAACAAGAUAUUUUAAUCUAUUUCAAUGCCACCUUGAUUCUAUAAUUUCUUUGACCUCAUAUUCUUGAUUAUUAUCCACUUCUAUAAGAAAAAGUGGUAUUUUUUGUCUUUUUAGUAUAUUAAUUAUCUUGAAUGACUUAAGAAGAGACACAUAGAAUAUAAGAUGGAUUUUUAUGGACUCUAAUUGGUAUAAUUGAUAGGUAAUUAGAUUAAUCUAUUCUUACAAAUAAAAUGGUCUAAGCCUAUAGUAAUCCAACUUGUCACAAGAAGAAACAGUCUUGAUAUUACAACAAAGUAAUCAUACCUUAUUACCAACAUAGAAUCGAAAUUUUUUCUUAUAAUAAUCAUCUACAUUGAUCUUUUUUUGUUCUUGAAUUUCUUUUAGUUAUACCUUUAUUGUUGCAUAUAGCUUUGAUACAUGAUUUGACAAAUCUCCCACCAUAAGAUUAUCAUCUUUGGAAAGUCAAAAAUAUCAAAUCAUGGAUAAUAAUUAUAAUUGAUAAAAAAAGGUAUUUAUUGAAUAGAAGAAUGUAUCGUGUUAUUAUAAGAAAAUUUUAUUAAUGGUAAAAAAAAUUAUCCAAUCAUCUUAUUAAUAGUUGAUAGUACAUCUCAAAUCCUACUUCAAAACUUGAUAUAUUCUCUCUAUUUGGCUAUUAAUUUAAAUAUAGAAAGUUGAAGAUAGUUUUAUGUCUACUUUCAAAAUCUUGAAAAGAAUUCUCUAAAAUCUUCAUACAAAUUGUGUCUUUUCCUCUGAUAUAAUAUUCUUAAGCAAUCUAUGAUAGCAAUAGAUGUUGUUAAGAAAAAAACUUAUUUGUUUCUUUAUUUGUAAUAGAUUUUGUAUAUAAUAUAAAAUAUACCAUCUUGGUGAAUUAAUCUAUUAUUACAAAUAUAGAAUCAAAAGAACUUGCAACUAAAAGAUCCUUCAUAAGGUCUAUAGAAACAUUAGACCAUAGUUGUUUUGGAAUAAAUAAGUGAUUUUGAAAUAAAAUUUUGAUAAAGAUAUGCUCUAAUGGGCUUGGAAAAAAUUCAAAAUAUGUGCCAAUAUGAAGUAUUUGAGAUUCUUGUGAUCCAUAUAUAAAAUAAUUAAAUUAGAAUUAUUUUUUAUAUAAUGAUAUUUUUUUUAAAAUGAAUCUAUAAUUAUAAAAAGCUCUUUGUUGCAGAUCUUGUAGUUAAUUUUGGCUACUAAAAAUUUCUUGGAAUAAAAAGCUACUAGAUGGAGUUUGUUAUUUUCUCUUUUUUGUGAUGAAAUUAUAACUAAAGCAAAUUUUGAUGCAUCUAUUUUUAUAAAGAAUGCCUUAAAAAAGUUGACAUAAUACAUGAUUAGUACAAAAAUAAAUAUUGUCUUUAAGGCUACCAAAGAUAUUUUAACUUCUUUAUUAUAUUUAAUUUUUUUUUAUAUAUUUCAAAUGUGUAAAAGAAACCACAACUUGAAAAAAGUUUUUAAUAAAGAUUUGAUAAUAAUUAGCAAAUUUUAAAAUAUAUUACACAUCUCUAAUUUUUUUUAAAAUCUUCUAAUCUAUGAUAGUCUAAACCUUCUUAGGAUCCAUUAUAAGGCUAUUAUUUGAAAGGAUGUAUCCUAAAAAAUUAAUUUGAGUAAUAUGAAAUACAAAAAUACAUGAUAUCUAUUCUUUAUGGUGAUAUUCUUGAAUCCUUGAUAGUCCACAUACAUUUGCAAAGAUCUUUUUUUUUCUUCAAAAAUAAGAUAAAAUAUUCUAUUUAAGAUUUAAAAUGGAAAAUAAAGUUCUUAGUUAAAUUUUCAUCAAUAUACUCUUUUAGUGCGCUCAACUCAUUUUGGGAUAAACUAUAGAUUGGUCCAAAUGGUGGUUGAGCUCAUUUUUGAAGAUCAAUGUAUCAAUCAUAGGAAUAAUAAUUUAUCAAAGAUAUAAAUUAAAAUAAAAAUAAUCUUAAAAUAAUCUUAUAUAAUUAAAAAAGAAUAAAUAUUCAAUCAAAAAAUAAUAUAAUAUUAAGACUAAAAUAAUUAUUUUUAAAAAUAAGAACAAUAUAGAUUCUUGAAACUAAAUUAAAAACAAGAAAGGUAUUAACAAGAGUGAAGAAGACUUCACUCUUUCUUCUAUAUAUACUAUCUUAUCAAGAACUAUGUGACAAUAUGCUAUAAAAUCUCCAACACAUGUUGAUUUUAUAAGACACAUGUUUUAACUUGCAAGAUAAGUUUCCUAUAUGCACACCUUACUAUUUGUUUGUAUCAUAAGCUACCAAUAUGUAUAAUAUGUGGCUAACUUAUUGACCAAAUUUCUAACCUAUCAAUCAAUUACAAAUAUAUAUAUAUAUAUAUAUAUAUAUAUAUAUAUAUAUAUAUAGUCAAAUAUGCAUCUAUUAAGCUUUUAAGAAGCUUUGCUAGAAGAUAAUAAUAAAUCUAUAUAUAUAUAUAUAUAUAUAUAUAUAUAUAUAUAUAUAUAUUAAUACUUCUUAUUUAGAUAAAUAUGUAUGUCUAUGACAUGACCUCUUUUUUUAAAGAUGAAUUCAAUAAAGAAUGGUCAUCAUUUUUUUAUUUUUUUAUUUUUAUCUUUAUUUUUAUGUAACAAAGAUUUAUUAUUUUUUAUCUUAAUUUUGAUAGAUGUUGUUGAUAAAAAGAAUUAACCUUCUUUGCCACAUUUACAAGAUUCUUUAUUGAUUCCCAUGUAUAUUUAUAACUACCAUAUCCAUACCAAUGAACAAGAUAUUUCAACCUGUUUCAUCGCCACCUUGAAUCUAAGACUUCUUCUACUUCAAACUCUUGAUUAUUAUCCACUUCUAUAGGAGGAUGUGUCAUUUGUCUUCUUCUUGAGAUAUUUACUAUCUUAUAUGGUUCAAAAAGAGGUACUUAAAAUACAUAAUAGACCCUUAUAGACUCCAAUAGAUAUAAUCAAUAAGCAUCUAGAUUAACUUCUUCACAAAUAAGAAAUACUCUAAGCUUAUAGUAAUAUAAAUUAUCACAAAAGUGGCUAUUUUUAAUAUUAUAAUGAAGUAAACAUAUCUUAUUACCAACAUAGAAUUGAGAUUUUUUCUUGUCAUAGGCAUUUGCAUUGAUUUUUUAUCGUUUUUGAACUUCUUUUAAUUGUGCUUUUACUUUUGUAUGUACCUCAGAUAAACAAUUUGACAAAUUCUCUACUACAAGAUUAUCAACUUUUGAAAAGUCAAAAGCAUCAAGUUAUAAAUAAUAAUCAUAAUUAGUAAAAUAUAUUUAUUCAAUAGAAGAAUAUAUUAUAUUAUUAUAAGUAAAGUAUGCCAAUGACAAAAGAAUUGUCUAAUCAUCUUAUUGGUAGUUGAUGGUACAUCUUAAAUAUUGCUCCAAAACCUGAUUUAUGGAUUGAGUGUCACCAUUAAUUUAAAAAUAAAAGACCAAAGAUAGCUCUAUCUUUACCUUUAAAAUCUUUUAGAAGGAUUCUCUAAAAUCUUCAUAUAAAUUAAUCUUUCUUAUUUGAUAUAAUAUCCUUGAAUAAUCUAUGAUAGUAAUAGAUGUUAUCAAAGAAAAACUUUGUUCUUUCUUCACUUGUAAUAGAUUUUAUAUAUGGUACAAAAUAUGCCAUCUUGGUGAAUUGAUCUAGUAUCAAAAAUAUAGAAUCAAAAGAACCUGAAAUUAGAAUAUUUUUAAUAAAGUCUAUAAGAACAAAAAACCAUUGUUGUUUAGGAAUAGAUAAUGAGUGAAGAAGUUAUUAAACUUAAUGAUGAGAAAUUUUCUUAUCUUCAAUAAAUGUUACAUGAUUAUACAAAGUCUUUAACUACCUUACACAUUUGAGGCCACUAAAAAUCUCUCGAUAUAAGCUCCAAAGUCUUGUUAUAUCCAAAAUAUCGAAGUAUUGGAAAAUCAUGAUGAGCUUGAAAAAUAUGUAAUUAUACUUUGUCUUUUAGAAUAUAUAAUUGUAUCUUGAAAUAGAAUAGAUUAAUUUUAAAAUAAAAUUUAGAAGUAUCAUAAAACUUAAAAGAAUUAUUCUUAAUAUCAUGAAUAAGAGAAAUAAAAGACAUACUUAAUUAAACUUACUUAAAAAAGAUUAAAUCAACAAUCAAUGUUGAUUUCAUUGCUCAAAGAUGAAAAUACUUUAGCUUCAAGAAAAUUAUUCUUUAUUGAUCAAAAGAUGCAUCUCUUUCUUUUGGUACAAGAUAAAAAUGUUUAGAAAGAAUAUUUCAUAAAACUUGUUGUUUUUUAUUUGAUAAGUGAUUUUGAAAUAAAAACUUGAUAAAGACAUGCUCGAAUGGCUUUGGCAAUGAUUUAAAAUACUUGCCAAUAUGAAAUACUUGAGGCUUUUAUGAUCUAUACAUAUAAUAACUAAAUUAAAAGUACCUAUUAAAUAAUAAUAUCAUUCUUGAAAUAAAUCAAUAAUUGCAAGAAACUCUUUGUAGUGGAUCUUGUAGUUAAUUUUGACUCCUAAAAAUUUCUUGGAUUGGAAAGCUAUCAGAUGGAACUUAUCAUUUAUUCCUAUUUGUGAAAAAUUUCACCCAUUGCAAAAUUUGAUGUAUUUUUUUUCAUAAAAAAUAGCUUAAAAAAAUUAAUAUAAUAUAAAGUUGGUAUAAAAAUAAAUGUUAUAUUCAAUGCUUCAAAAGAUGCUUCAACUUCUUUACAUAUCAAACAUAUAAAAAGAGCUAUACAUGACAAAUAUUAACUUCAUAUUCUUUUAUAUUCUUAGAAUAGAUGAAAAAAAAAUUCUUAAUAAUAAAUGAUAAAAUAAUUAAAAAAUUCAUAAAAUACAUCAUUCAUUAGAUGAUAAAAAGUAACUAAUACAUUUGUAAAUCUAAAAGGCAUGACAUUAUAUUUGAAAUAUCCAUACUUUAUUCAAAAAGUAAUUUUUUAUUCAUCUUCUUUUUUAAUGUGUACUAAGUUAUAUAUUUCUUAUAGAUUUAUUUUACUAUAGAUCUUUGCUUGAUUCAAUUAAUCAAAAAGUCUUAAAAUUAAAGCUAAGAUAUACUUAUUCUUGAUAGUGAUUAUAUUGAGUCUUUGAUAGUCAACACAUAUUUGCAAAUAUUUUUUUUUCUUUAUAAAUAUAAAAAAAAGUCUCAAUUAGAGAUUUAAAUAGAAAUAUUAAAUUUUUAGCUAAAUUUUCAUCAAUGAACUCCUUAUAUAGAGCCAAUUUGUUCUAACAUAGGCUAUAAAUUGGUUAAAAUGAUGGUUGAGCUCUUUUUUGAAGAUUAAUGGAACAAUCAUAGAGACUAUGCUUUGAAAGAAUAUUUAUAUUUUUCUUUUAAAAACAUCUUAAUAAUCUUUAUAUUGAUUUAGAAUGUUAUUUAAAAUAUUUUUUUAUUAACAAUAGAUAUGGUGUAUAUAGAAAAAAUUGACCUUUCUUUUGUAGCAUGCAUGAAAGCUCUUGCUUAUACCAAUAAUGGCUUGAACGUAUUAAUCAUAUGGAUUUUAACUUAUCUAGGAGAAUCUUGACCCAAAUUAUAAAAAAAAUCAAGGUUAUAAGAAAUCCAAUCUGUUUGAAGGUUAUAUUUUUUUAGCCAUGAUAAUCCUAAAAUAAUUAGAUUAAAAGAAAAUUUAAUCAUAUUAAAUAUUACUAAAUUAUUAUAAUCUUUAAUUUCUCCAUCUAAAAGAAAAAUCUCAUGGAUAACAUAUUCAAAAGAUAAUAAACAACCAUCUAUUACUUCUACAUAAAUAUAAUUUUGGUGUUCUUGGCUAAAGAUAUUUCUUGUUUUUUAACAAAGUCUUCAUCUAUAAUAAAAGCUAAGGCUCUUAAAUCUAAUAAUAUAAAAACUUUUUUAUUUUUAGAUCUUUAAUAUACAUCUAUUAUAAAAUAAGUUAGGAAUCUAAGGAGUGAAUAGGAUCUUAUUAGAUAUUCUACAUGAUUCCAAAUGCACGAUUCUUAUUGUAGCUAGAGGAACUCAUUUUUUGAUACAUUGUCUUUUUUGGCAAUUGUACUCUUCAUUUUGUGAUUGCAUUGCUUCAUUAGAAAAUAUUGAAUAAUAUAUUUAGCUUCUCUUCAAUAUAAGAAUAAAUCUAUUUGAUGACAUUGAAUCUUUUUUUACUUAGUGAAGAAUUUAUAACAUAUUGUAUCAAUUUGUAUUAGUUCUUGCUUUAAUGAAUAAGUUUUUGAAAGCUCAAGAGUUAUUGUCAUUACUUAAUUUAUUCUUCUUCAACAAAAUCUUUGAUCUUGAAACCUUUCAAAUAGUUGAUUUUUGCAUGUAAUGGCUUAAAUAAUAAAUUAUUUCAAAAAAAUUAUUUUUGAUAUUAUUAAUAAAAAAUCUUUGACACUAUCCUUCAAUCUAUAUCAAAACUAAUUGAUAAGGACUUAACAUUCAAAUCUACAUUACAAAUAAGGUUUUGAAAUUUAAUAGUAUAUAUGAUAGUUGAUCGUGAUUCUUAUUGUAAAGAUAAAAUUUUGGUCUUUAUUACUCAUUCUUGAUCACUCUCUCCAAAUGUGGCCGUAAACACCUUUAAGAAUGCUCUCAGAUUAUAAAGAAGUCAUGAAUUUUUUUCCAUCAAAGGUAUAAAUCAAGAGAGAGCACUUCUAGACAGAAGUUCACUUAUGAAUUGAACUUGAGUAAAUCCAUUAUGAUGUUGGAAAAAAUACAAUCUUAAAUAGAGCUUAAUUUAUUAUAAAAAAUUUUGAAAUUUUGAUCUUGUUCUAUAAAACUUCUUGAGUAUUCUAAUCCUUACUUCCUUUGUACUUAUAGAAGAAAGACUUUUUAAAUUUGGUUAUAAAGCUAAUCUAUUUCUUUCCUUCAAUUGUACAACUUCUUGGCAUAAACUCUAGACUUCUUUCAUAGGUGUAGGAAUAGUGCUUCUAUAAUUGGCAUUGAUAAUAUAUGAAAUUUCUACCCUAAGACUAUUAACAAGCUUGUAAAGAUUUGUAAUAGUUAAAAAUCUAUUCUUGCUUCUGCCAAGUGUAGCAUCUAUAAUUUUUCCUUCCAUUUUAAAUAACUUAAUAAAUUCACAAAUUAAAUUAGAAGAAAAUAAUCUGAAACCUCUAAUGUCAAAUGAAAAUUUUUACAAACAAAGGUGAUCCACUUUCUUUAAGGAAACAAUUAGUAUUAGAAAACUAAAUUAUUUAUUUAAAAGAAGAUAGUUUGCAAUCUUAAAAAUAUAAUAAUAGAAGUCAAAUAAUUUACUUACUUCUAAAAUAAGAUAAAAAUAAUGAAUUAGUAUAUUUAUCAAAUUGUUAAGGAUAUAAAUCAAAGUACAAAGAAUUUUAAAAUAUUCUUAUUUAAUUAAAAAAUAAUAAAUAUUUACUAAAAAAUAAUAUAAUAUUAAGACUAAAAUAGUUAUUGUUAAAUAUAAGAACAAUGUAAACUCUUGAAAUUAAACUAAGAACAAGAAAGAGGUUGACAAGAGUGAAGAAAGCUUCAUUCUUGCCUCCAUAUAUACUAUCUUAUUAAAAGCUAUGUAACAAUGUUUUAUAGGACCUCUAAUACAUAUUGACUUUGUAAGAUAAAUAUCUAAAAUUUAUAAAGUAAGUUUUCUAAAUGCACGCUGUCGUGUUGUAACAUGAGUAUACCGUGAAAAUAUAAAGAAAAGGGACUUUUAUUAAUAUUUAGUUACCUCGAAUAUUGGGAGCAACGACCAAUUCCAGUACAAAUACUGCGUGGCCAGGUUCAGUCACCCCGUUACAGUCAGCCGGGGCAUACUGAAAUGCUCCGUUCGAUUCCAAUAACGGGAGUUAACAGGAAGAGAAAGGAUCAAUUCACACGACGGGUGAGCCUGGUUCGAAGAGCCAAUUGGAUCCAAUUUCAAGAAUCCAAUCCGGAUCCUCUUACCCAAUAUGAGACCUGAAUUGGUCGAACAACCCAAUGCAGUCUAAUUACAGGAAAAUCCAGGUCUUACUACGGGCUUCAGCCAAUCUGAUGCGAAGGACUAAUUUGAUCCAAUUACGGGGACAUCCGGGUCUUACUACUGGACUCUUAGCCAAUACGAGACCUAAAUUGGUCAGACGACUCAAUGUGGUCCCGAUUAUCGCGUUUCGAUUCUGUUUCAGGCUGUCCUAUUCUCUGUGCCGUUUCAGGGAAUGUUGUUUUCGGUAAAAAGAUCUCUUAAAGAUAAAAACGGGGGAGAAAGCUCUGACGGCGAGAGCCAAUUUCGGAUCCAAGCUCUGACGGUGGGAGCCAAUUCCAGAUCCAAGACGGAAGAUUGAAGAAAUUCAGAGGAGCUUCAUGCUUCGGGUCAGGGAAGAAAAGACGGAGAAUUGGGUUUUUCUUCUUCAUAUGGUUUUGGAAAGACUGAGGCAAUCGUUGCUGAAGUCAGUGUUGUAAUGGUGAAUCGGGAUUUUUUAAUGAAAAGGGUUUGAUUACUCUUGACUGUUUUGUGAAAUUGAGUUACGUCUGUGAUUGAAGGAUUAAAAGGGUGUCUAUAGGAUUGAGUAUGCGGAGUGCAUCAAAUUUAUUGGGUUAAUCUAACAAGACAGUCAGUGGAUACAAGAUCAUAAGUACAAAGCGGUAUCGAAGAUUAGCAGAUUGGGUUGUUUGGGGUUCUCUGUAACGUCUAGAGACCUACCGGCUGGGACAAAAAGGACUUCGACAAGCAGUCGAAGGGCAUCCAUAUAGAUUUACGGUGUAUUCUUGCAGUCGUUUAUAUUCCAGUAGUCAAAAACUGAUAGACUGCUUGACUAUUGGCGAAUCUCCAUACUACCUUCUACAGCUAGACGCCCGGCGCGUUCUCGAGCAGGAAAGCACGUAAUACGACAGCGGUAUCAAAGAUUAGCAGUUUGGGUUGUUCGGGGUUCUUUGUAACGUCAAGAGACCUAUUGGCUGGGGCAAAAAGGAUUUCGGCGAGCAGUCGAAGGGCAUCCGUAUAGAUUUAUGGUGUAUUCUUGUAGUCGUUUAUAUUCCAGCAGUCAAAAAUUGUUAGACUGCUUGACUAUUGGCGAAUUUCUAUACUACCUUCUAUAGCCAGACGCCCGGCACGUUCUCGAGCAGGAAAGCACGUUAUACGACAAAAGUGGUAAACCCGACGUGAAAGCUUGAGGUGGAAGGUAUUGGAUUUUGGUUGAUUUUAUCUUUAUUUUAUGGGAAACGAAAAUAAAAAUUUUGAAGGAUUUUUCGGAGGAGUUUCUGGUGGGGAUUCUUCUAAAGGACAAGGUAUGCACAUGGAUCCGUCUAUUGCUAGUAUGUUUCAAGCCUUCUCAUUAUCAAUGCAGCAACAGCAAAGCAAUGAUCGAAAGGAAGCUUUGGCAACCAAAGCAUUGCAAGCAGUGGUCAAUAAAAUUGAUCAAUUUGAUGGAAAGAAUAUUUCAAGGUAUUUAAGAUGUUAUGUUUGUGAAAUGGAAUUAAAUCAGAUUUUUGAGAAGAAAAUGGUUGAAUUAUUUGGACUUGCCAUGAUACCGAAGAUAAGAAACCACAUUACAUCGAUUACGGAUCGUUAUGGGAAUUCAUGGGAGGUUUCUUCACAUGCAUUGAAAGACAAAUAUUUCUUGGAAGAUGCUGAUCGCGUUACUAAGAAGCUGUUUCUAGAAUGGAUUGAACGGCCCAAUAAGAAUUUGCAAGCAACAGAGCUACUAAGGAAAUUUGAGAGGUAAUACUCUCAAUUAUCGAAGGUAGAAAAAUUGACAUUAGAGCCAAAGAAAGUUGAUCUAUUUCUUCAAGCUGCUGAUGGAGAAUUGCAAGGGAAAUUAGAACUUCUUCUUGAAGACAAAGAAGAAGAUGAAGGAUUGACAACAAAGUGGAAGAACGUUGAAGAUGCGGUGGGGUUGCUUACAAAAAGAGAAAGGAGGAAGGAUAGGAGCAAUAUUUCGAAAACAGUACAAGCACCCAAAGCUCCAGUACGUACAAUACCACCAACAAUGCCUACAGUUCAACCUUCGACAUCCUUAUCAAAGAAAGUAGAUAUGGAGAUGGAAGAAAUUAUACCAGGAAUGCGAGAUCUUCAAAUCAAAUUGGCAAGACUUGAAGAGAAUACUUCUACAAACAAUUCGAAGAAUGUUUCAAAACAAGGAUAUGUACAAAGAUGCAUUUGGUGUAAUGACGCUUCACACACUAGAAAAGAUUGCAAUGAAUUUAAUAAUAUGAUACGGCAGGGAAUUAUUUGCUGGAAAGAUGGGAAGAUAGCAUUGAAAGAUAGGGAGGAUCUUCUUCAAACCAAUUUUGGCAAAGGAAGAAUGAGAGCAUUGGUUCAAGAUUACCUAAAACAGCAUGAAACAACAGCACGAGAAAGUGCAAGUUAUGGUGUUAGAAUAGAUGAUGAAAUUGGUGGAAGUACGGAAACUGGUGAGUUUUGGGCUUCUGCCGUUUCUACAAUGCAAGAAGGGAAAUUACCUCGAGAAGCGUUAUUGAGGACUGCAGCUACAAUAUGAGGUAGAACAGGUUGGGAGGAUCCUGUUGAGUCUCUUUCAGUUCAUGCAUAUAUUGCUAAGAGCCAACAUGAAGCUUUGAUGGAAGAAAAGAGACGAGGAAAUUUUGAUGAUACGAGAGAAGGAAAUUCUUCUAAGAGGCAAACUCGAGGAGACAAGGCUCAGGAGGCAACUUCACAAGAAUUGCCUGUAAAGGAUACCUCAGCAUCAUUGGGAGAAAAAACAAAGGAGACAAAAGAUAAAGGCAAAUCAAUUGCUUAUAAGCUACUUUCAGACAUUGAAGCGGCAACAAAUUUGAAAGGGGUGUUGGAAGAACGUAUAUUAAAUGCUAAGGUGGAAUUCACAUUGAAAGAAGUUUUGGAAAUUGCAAAGAAGGAGUUUCAUGAUGUUAUCAUUGACAGCAUUAAGCGAAAGAGGCAAUUAAUGGACGAAACUGGAAUGAGUCAUCCUAUUGAUGCAAGAAUAUAUAGAGAUGAAGAAAAGGUUGAUAUUGGUUACAAGCAACCAACAAAUGAAAAGAAUGGGUAUAAUCAACGAGUACGUUUCAAAGAUUCUAGUGAUAAGGAAAUGGAAACUUUGAGCCAUUAUACUCGAAAGCAUUGGACAAGGGCAACUACUGAGGUAUUGGUGAAAGUAGGAGAUAUAGAUGAACCAAUUGUUGGUUUAGUCGACCAUGGUUCUGAAAUAAAUUUCAUGUCUAAAGAUCUUUAUAAGAAGCAAAAAUGGCCAAUUGAUAUGGAACAUGGAUGGGCAAUACGAGCAGCUAAUAACACACAGGGCGAAUUAUAUGGAGCUUGUCCAGAUGUCAAAAUUUGGAUUGGGGAUGUUACAACGGUGUCGUAUUACGUGCUUUCCUGCUCAAGAACGUGCCAGGCGUCUGGCUGUAGAAAGUAGUAUGGAGAUUCGCCAACAGUCAAGCAGUCUAUCAGUUUUUGACUGCUGGAAUAUAAACGACUGCAAGAAUAUACCAUAAAUCUAUACGGAUGCCCUUCGACUGCUUCUCGAAGUCCUUUUUGUCCCAGCCGGUAGGUCUCUAGACGUUACAGAGAACCCCGAACAACCCAAUCUGCUAAUCUCUGAUACUGCUUUGUACUUACGAUCUUGUAUCCACUGACUGUCUUGUUAGAUUAACCCAAUAAAUUUCAUUUACUCCGCAUACUCAAUCCUAUAGACACCCUUUUAAUCCUUCAAUCACAGACAUAACUCGAUUUCGUAAAACAGUCAAGGGUAAUCAAACCCACUUCAUUAAAAAGAUCCCGAUUCACCAUUACAACACUGACUUCAGCAACGAUUGUCUCAGUCUUCCCAAAACUAUAUGAAGAAGAAAAAUCCAAUUCUCCGUCUUUUCUUCCUCGACCCGAAGCAUGAAGCUCUUCUCCAAUCUCCUUGAUCUCUAAAAAACUCCAAUGAAACCGAACUAGUAACCUUGAAAAAAAAAGCUUGAAGCUAGCUCUUCGAUCCAAAAAACCCCCCAAAAACUUAUUCUCCCCCUAACCUUAUCCUCUGAAUUUCUUCAAUCUUCCAUCUUGGAUCCGGAAUUGGCUCCCAUCAUCAGAGCUUAGAUCCAAAAUUGGCUCCCGCCAUCAAAGCUUUCUCCUCCGUUUUUAUCUUUAAGAGAUCCAUUUACCGAAAACAACCUUCUUUGUAACGGCACAGAGAAUAGGACAGCCUGAAACAGAAUCGAAACCCCGUACUCGAGUCCACAUUGAGUCGCUCGACCAAUUCAGGUCUCAUAUUGGGUAAGAUGUCUGUAGUAACCUGGAUUUCCCGUAAUCAGACUACAUUGGGUUGCCCGACCAAUGCAGGUCUCAUAUUGAGUAAGAGGACCCGUAGCAAGACCUGGAUUUUCUCGUAAUCAGACUGCAUUGGGUUGCUCGACCAAUUCAGGUCUCAUAUUGGAUAAGAUGUCCGUAGUAAUCAGGAUGUUCCCGUAAUUGGAUCAAAUUGGUCCUUCGCGUCAGACUAGCUGAGGCCCGUAGUAAGACUUGGAUUUUCUCGUAAUUAGACUGCACUGGGUUGCCCGACCAAUGCAGGUCUCAUAUUGGGUAAGAGGACCCGUAGUAAGACCUGAAUUUUCCCGUAAUCAGACUGCAUUGGGUUGUCCGACCAAUGCAGGUCUCAUAUUGAAUAAGAGGACCCAGAUUGGAUUCUCGAAAUUGGAUCCAAUUGGCUCUUCGAACCAAGCUCACCCGUCAUGUGAAUUGGUCCUUUUCCUUCCUGCUAACUCCCGUUAUUGGAAUCGAACGGAGCAUUUCAGUAUGCCCCGGCUGACCGUAACGGGGUGACUGAACCUCACCACUCAGUAUUUGCACUAGAGUUGGUCGUUGCUCCCAAUAUUCGAGGUAACUGAAUAUUAAUAAAAGUCCCUUUUCUUUAUAUUUUCACGGUAUACUCGUGUUACAACACAACAUCCACCCCCUCUGAACCUAUGCAUCCUCCGGUAUGCACCAAUUUACCCAAUUGCUGUUAGAUUCAGAAUAUAUCCUCUACGUCUUUGUGUAGUUCGUCUUCGUCACCUUCAUUAUCUAAAUCACUUUCAUCUUCUUGCUGCGGAAUCUCUAUACCUUUAUUAAGGUCUUCCAUAUUCAUCUCCACAUGUCUUCGUUUAAAUAUUUUUACUCGCUUCUCUGCAAUUGGUAUUUUCAAUUUUGUACCAUCUAACUCCCGUAAUGAGUAAGUCGCAUUAUCAUGAACUGUUGUUACCACAUAUGGUCCAAACCAACAUUUUGAAAAUUUUUGCAAAGUACUAUGUUGAUUAUCCAGACUAUUAUCAUAAACAAGUACCCAAUCACCUUCCUCGAUUGCUUUUGGUCUCAAUCAAUGUUGCUUAUUGAAUCGCGCCUUGUUUUGUAACCUUGCUCUUUUUAACCUUCCCAAUGCUAUCUAGGCAUCUUCCGAUCUUUGCUCCAAUUGUCGAAUCCUAAUAGCCAGAAGUUCUUCUCUUGUCAAUCCAUCUUCCCAUCGUAGCAUACUCCAAGUAAGUACCUUUUCUUCAAUCGGCAUAAUUGGUUUUUGACCUGUCAUAAGUUCUACUGGCAUAUAUCCUGUCACCGAACUAUGUGUUGUUCGAUCAGCCCAUAAUACAAAUGACAAAAGCCGUGGCCACUCUCUAACUUUUCCAUUACAAGCUUUAACCAAUGCUUUCACAAUCAGUAGGUGACCGCGUUCGCUUUUUGCAUUCCCUUCUUGAUUAUAAGUAGUAGUCAGUGAUAAUUUAACUCCACAUCUUUCAAAGAACUUACGAACUUCUUGUACAUUUAAUUUUCCACGAUCUGUAGUGACUUUUCCUACGCAUCCGUAGCGGCAAAUGACAUCUUCAAGCAAAAACCUACAAAUCCCCUCUGUAGAUUUUGUCCUCAAUGCUCUUCCUUCUACUUGAUUUGAUAAAUCUUCACGAGCUAAAACCAAAUAUCUCAUCUGCCAUAACCCAACCGGCAUAAUAACCAAAUCAACAACCCAUUUAAAAUGAAUAGCUAGAGGAUACGUAGGAUGAAGACCAUCUCGAUGUCGGAUAUUAGAAUACGAUUGACAGAUUUCACAUGACUCUACAAAUGAGAGCACAUCUCGAUACAUAUUUUUCCACCGAUAUCGUUCUUUGAGUUUAGCAAAAGUAGCCCAGAUUCCUCUAUGCCCUGCCCAUAAACUAUCAUGAAAUUCCUUUAAUAAUUUUAGUUUUUCUUCCCUUUUGCCUAUCACUCGUUGUGGCAUUUCAAUUCCUUUCUUCGGUCUCUUCCAUAAGAAUCCAUCUCGAAGUAAAAAUCCAUAUGCUUUUUUUCUUAUUUGUUUGAAUUUUUCUGUAGACCAAUUCCUCUGCUUAGUCAAGGUAUUCAAGUAAUGACCAAUAUCCAAUAAUUCUCCUUCAUAAGAUUCUUCAAGAAAUAGCUUGCCUUCUCUGUUGAGAUUUGAUAUUGAAUAGAAUUUCUAUCCGACGUCAUCAAUGUCUUCAACCAUAUCGUCCUCCCUCUUGUAUCUUGCUCGAGAUAGCAUGUCUGCUACUAAAUUGUCCUUCCCAGUAAUAUGCUUAAAUUUCGGAUUUAGUGACUUAAUAUAAGCAAUCCAUCUCAACAUUGCAAUAUCUGGCGUUGAACAGUUAAUAAUCAUUCCAAGCAAUGGCAAGCAAUCUGUUUCAAUUACUACUACUGCCCCAAUCAAAUAGUCCUUUUCAGCUUUCAUAGCCGAAACGACUCUCCAAAGUUCUCUUUUGACUUGCGAAUAUGCACGCUGAUGAAUACUUAAAACUUUAGUCCCAAAUCAAACUGCAAAUCUAUUCCCAUUUGAAUCAUCUUGACCCACAGCCCAUCCAAUGGCAAUCGGACUAGCGUCCACAGUAAGAAUCACUGGUCUAUUGCACUUAUAAUCAACCUUCCUCAAUAUUGGAGGUGACAUCAAUAAUUUCUUCAAUCUUUGUAUUGCCUGAAUAUGCCUUUCUUUCCAUUUAAAUCGGUAACCCUUGCGUAACAGUUCAUAUAAUGGAUCCGCUAUGUGAGCAAAAUGAGGGAUCCAGAUUCGAUAAAAUACACAUGCACCUAAAAACCUGCAAACCUAUGUUAAAGAAUCACAAUCCUCUUUCAUCCUUCCAAUUGCAUCAACUUUAGUCGGAUCUGGUUUUCUUCCGUAAGAUCCACAUAAAUGUCCAACAAUCACAACCUCUCGUACUCCAAAUACGGACUUCAUACCCGAUAAUCCAAGCCGAGUUAAAAUCUUUUCACAAUCUUGUAUAUGAUCAACGACAUAUUUGCGACACCACCUCGUAUCUAAAGUUUCAUCCUUGUCUCCUUCUCUGCAUCCUUUUAUAGGAACAUCAUCCAGAAAAGGCAUAGUCUUUUCCGGAAUAAAAUCUCUCAAUACCUUAUUUAUCCCAUUCAUCAUAUGCGCAAUUGAGUUGGUCGUGCCUUGAGGAAGAGUGCACAUUCUAACCAAUCCAAGUGGUGUCCUCAUUGUUGUCAUAUCUCUACUUCCUUCGACAAGUUGAAAUUGAUCAUAACCUGAAUACAAGUCACCCAUUGAAUAGAUCGCCCUUCCAGCAAACGCCUCAGCAAACUCAUCCACAAUAGGUCCAAUUCUUGCAUUCCUGAUAGUUACUGCAUUCACCGGUUGCAUAUCUUGAAUAAAUCGUAGUGACCCAUUCUUCUUAGGUACCGUAAACCAUCGACUAGAAUACGACUCAAACGAAGGUUCCAAUAUUUUUAUCUUUAUCUUUUCUUUUAAUAGUUCCAACAAUUUAGGUAAAUGUGCCCUCGAUACUGGAAUCGGUCUUAGAUUCCAAGGUACAUGCGGUACAGUGAAGUUAACCAUAGGUGUUAUAAUAUUUGGAUCCACACAGUCAAUUUCAUGAGAUCCGAAAGCAAACGAUCUACCUUGUUUAGCCAACAUCUUUUUGAAGCAAGUAAUUUCAUUCGGCAAUAAAGAACCAUCAGAAUCAAUCUUCAAUUCUUCAAAAGUCUCUUUAGUAAACUGAUGUCCAAUACUCAUUGGAUCUCUUAAACUUGCUUCUUUUGAUGCUUCCCCCAUUUAUUCUUUAGAAUCUUCUGGUAAUGAUCCAGCAACAGGCUUUACCUUCUUAUCUGUCGUUUUAUAUCUCGUCUCUACAGUGACUUCUGGUGCUUGAAAAGAUUCAAGUAUGGUAUAAACCUCUCUUGAAUGAAUCUCAACAAUCUUAUCAUUAUCCCCUAAUCCAAUAGAUGUAAUCAAUUUCAAUGAAUCUUCCAGUCCAUUUUCUUCAUAAACACCUAAAAUCCUCUCAUCAUCUUGCAAUGUACCUAACUUGCGUAAUUGUCCUUCAAUAUCAUAUAAUCUUUUUCUUUCUUUUCUUUUAAAAUCAUCAACUUUUUUAUACAUAAUAUUUCCAUUCUCCAAUAUACUAAUAAAACUCGCAUCAAAGGCACCUUCAUUUGGCGAGAGUACUUCCUUUUUUGUACCUCCAUAAUCUCGCUUUACAGUGGUACCUCCCCAAAAUCCUUAAAUCCUUCAACAAUCUUUGGUAAUAGUUUCUCCCUCAAGCUAUCUCGAUUCCAUUCAUGGUUAGGAGGUACUGUUAGAAAUUGUACAGCUUCCCUCCUAUCCUCACUACGUACCCUUGCAUAAGCUGAACCAUCGUCAAGUACUUUUGUUUCUAUCUGUGUUGCCAUAAUAUAAGGUUGUCCUAAAAUCAACGGAUAAGAUGUUGUAUCUUGAACAAAGAAAUGUUGCUCCGUUGUCGUGUUGUAACACGAGUAUAUCAUGAAAAUAUAAAGAAAAGGGACUUUUAUUAGUAUUCAGUUACCUCGAAUAUUGGGAGCAACGACCAACUCCAGUACAAAUACUGAGUGGUCAGGUUCAGUCACCCCGUUACGGUCAGCCGGGGCAUACUGAAAUGCUCCGUUCGAUUCCAAUAACGGGAGUCAACAGGAAGGGAAAGGACCAAUUCACGCGACGGGUGAGCCUGGUUCGAAGAGCCAAUUGGAUCCAAUUUCGAGAAUCCAAUCUGGGUCCUCUUACCCAAUAUGAGACCUGUAUUGGUCGGGCAACCCAAUGCAGUCUGAUUACGAGAAAAUCCAGGUCUUACUACGGUUGCUCUUACCCAAUAUGAGACCUGUAUUGGUCGGGCAACCCAAUGCAGUCUAAUUACAAGAAAAUCUAAGUCUUACUACGGGCCUCAGCCAGUCUGACGCGAAGGACCAAUUUGAUCCAAUUACGGGAACAUCCAGGUUACUACGAGCAUCUUACCCAAUAUGAGACCUGAAUUGGUCGGGCGACUCAAUGUGGACUCGAGUACGGGGUUUCGAUUUUGUUUCAGGCUGUCCUAUUCUCUGUGCCGUUACAAGGAAGGUUGUUUUCGGUAAAUGGAUCUCUUAAAGAUAAAAACGGAGGAGAAAGCUCUGACGGCGGGAGCCAAUUUCGGAUCUAAGCUCUCACGAUGGUAGCCAAUUCCGGAUCCAAGACGGAAGAUUGAAAAAAUUCAGAGGAUAAGGUUAGGGGGAGAAUAAGUUUUUGGGGGAUUUUUUUUUCAGAUUGAGGGGGGUUUUCUGGAUCGAGGAGCUAGAUUCAAGCUUUUUUUUUCAAGGUUACUAGUUCGAUUUCAUUAGAGUUAUUUGGAGAUCAAGGGGAUUGGAGAAGAGCUUCAUGCUUCGGGUCGAGGAAGAAAAGACGAAGAAUUGGAUUUUUCUUCUUCAUAGAGUUUUGGAAAGAAUAAGGCAAUCAUUGCUGAAGUCAGUGUUGUAAUGGUGAAUCGGGAUCUUUUUAAUGAAGUGGAUUUGAUUACCCUUGACUGUUUUACGAAAUCGAGUUACGUCUGUGAUUGAAGGAUUAAAAGGGUGUCUAUAGGAUUGAGUAUGCGGAAAGAAUGAAAUUUAUUGGGUUAAUCUAACAAGACAGUCAGUGGAUACAAGAUCGUAAGUACAAAGCGGUAUCAGAGAUUAGCAGAUUGGGUUGUUCGGGGUUCUCUGUAACGUCUAGAGACCUACCGGCUGGGGCAAAAAGGACUUCGACAAAUAGUCGAAGGGCAUCCGUAUAGAUUUAUGGUAUAUUCUUGCAGUCGUUUAUAUUCCAGCAGUCAAAAACUGUUAGACUGCUUGACUAUUGGCGAAUUUCUAUACUACCUUCUAUAGCCAGACGCCCGGCACGUUCUCGAGCAGGAAAGCACGUUAUACGACAAAAGUGGUAAACCCGACGUGAAAGCUUGAGGUGGAAGGUAUUGGAUUUUGGUUGAUUUUAUCUUUAUUUUAUGGGAAACGAAAAUAAAAAUUUUGAAGGAUUUUUCGGAGGAGUUUCUGGUGGAGAUUCUUCUAAAGGACAAGGUAUGCACAUGGAUCCGUCUAUUGCUAGUAUGUUUCAAGCCUUCUCAUUAUCAAUGCAGCAACAGCAAAGCAAUGAUCGAAAGGAAGCUUUGGCAACCAAAGCAUUGCAAGCAGUGGUCAAUAAAAUUGAUCAAUUUGAUGGAAAGAAUAUUUCAAGGUAUUUAAGAUGUUAUGUUUGUGAAAUGGAAUUAAAUCAGAUUUUUGAGAAGAAAAUGGUUGAAUUAUUUGGACUUGCCAUGAUACCGAAGAUAAGAAACCACAUUACAUCGAUUACGGAUCGUUAUGGGAAUUCAUGGGAGGUUUCUUCACAUGCAUUGAAAGACAAAUAUUUCUUGGAAGAUGCUGAUCACGUUACUAAGAAGCUGUUUCUAGAAUGGAUUGAACGGCCCAAUAAGAAUUUGCAAGCAACAGAGCUACUAAGGAAAUUUGAGAGGUAAUACUCUCAAUUAUCGAAGGUAGAAAAAUUGACAUUAGAGCCAAAGAAAGUUGAUCUAUUUCUUCAAGCUGCUGAUGGAGAAUUGCAAGGGAAAUUAGAACUUCUUCUUGAAGACAAAGAAGAAGAUGAAGGAUUGACAACAAAGUGGAAGAACGUUGAAGAUGCGGUGGGGUUGCUUACAAAAAGAGAAAGGAGGAAGGAUAGGAGCAAUAUUUCGAAAACAGUACAAGCACCCAAAGCUCCAGUACGUACAAUACCACCAACAAUGCCUACAGUUCAACAUUCGACAUCCUUAUCAAAGAAAGUAGAUAUGGAGAUGGAAGAAAUUAUACCAGGAAUGCGAGAUCUUCAAAUCAAAUUGGCAAGACUUGAAGAGAAUACUUCUAUAAAUAAUUCGAAGAAUGUUUCAAAACAAGGAUAUGUACAAAGAUGCAUUUGGUGUGAUGAUGCUUCACACACUAGAAAAGAUUGCAAUGAAUUUAAUAAUAUGAUACGGCAAGGAAUUAUUUGCUGGAAAGAUGGGAAGAUAGCAUUGAAAAAUAGAGAGGAUCUUCUUCAAACCAAUUUUGGCAAGGGAAGAAAGCUGUACAAUUUCUAACAGUGCCUCCUAACCAUGAACGAAAUCGAGAUAGGUUGAAGGAGAAACCAUUACCAAAGAUUGUUGAAGGAUUUAAGGAUUUUGGGGAGGUACCACUGUAAAGCGAGAUUAUGGAGGUACAAAAAAGGAAGUACUCUCGCCAAAUGAAGGUGCCUUUGAUGCGAGUUUUAUUGGUAUAUUGGAGAAUGGAAAUAUUAUGUAUAAAAAAGUUGAUGAUUUUAAAAGAAAAGAAAGAAAAAGAUUAUAUGAUAUUGAAGGACAAUUACGCAAGUUAGGUACAUUGCAAGAUGAUGAGAGGAUUUUAGGUGUUUAUGAAGAAAAUGGACUGGAAGAUUCAUUGGAAUUGAUUACAUCUAUUGGAUUAGGGGAUAAUGAUAAGAUUGUUGAGAUUCAUUCAAGAGAGGUUUAUACCAUACUUGAAUCUUUUCAAGCACCAGAAGUCACUGUAGAGACGAGAUAUAAAACGACAGAUAAGAAGGUAAAGCCUGUUGCCGGACCAUUACCAGAAGAUUCUAAAGAACAAAUGGGGGAAGCAUCAAAAGAAGCAAGUUUAAGAGAUCCAAUGAGUAUUGGACAUCAGUUUACUAAAGAGACUUUUGAAGAAUUGAAGAUUGAUUCUGAUGGUUCUUUAUUGCCGAAGGAAAUUACUUGCUUCAAAAAGAUGUUGGCUAAAUAAGGUAGAUCGUUUGCCUUCGAAUCUCAUGAAAUUGGCUGUGUGGAUCCAAAUAUUAUAACACCUAUGGUUAUCUUCACUGUACUGCAUGUACCUUGGAAUCUAAGACCGAUUCCAGUACCGAGGGCACAUUUACCUAAAUUGGUGGAACUAUUAAAAGAAAAGAUAAAGAUGAAAAUAUUGGAACCUUCAUUUGCGCCGUAUUCUAGUCGAUGGUUUACGGUACCUAAGAAGAAUGGGUCACUACGGUUUAUUCAAGAUAUACAACCAGUGAAUGCAGUAACUGUCAGAAAUGCAAGAAUUGGACCUAUUGUGGAUGAGUUUGCUAAGGCGUUUGCUGGAAGGGCGAUCUAUUCAAUGGGUGACUUGUAUUCAGGUUAUGAUCAAUUUCAACUUGUCGAAGGAAGUAGAGAUAUGACAACAAUGAGGACACCACUUGGAUUGGUUAGAAUGUGCACUCUUCCUCAAGGCACGACCAACUCAGUUGCGCAUAUGAUGAAUGGGAUGAAUAAGGUAUUGAGAGAUUUUAUUCCGAAAAAGACUAUGCCUUUUCUGGAUGAUGUUCCUAUAAAAGGAUGCAGAGAAGGAGACAAGGAUGAAACUUCAGAUACGAGGGGGUGUCGCAAAUAUGUUGUUGAUCAUAUACAAGAUUGUGAAAAGAUUUUAACUUGGCUUAGAGAAGUUUAUCUUACAUUAUCGAGUAUGAAGUCCGUAUUUGGAGUACGAGAGGUUGUAAUUGUUGGACAUUUAUGUGGAUCUUACGGAAGAAAACCAGAUCCGACUAAAGUUGAUGCAAUUGGAAGGAUGAAAGAGGAUUGUGAUUCUUUAACACAUGUUCGUAGGUUUUUGGAUGCAUGUGUAUUUUAUCGAAUCUGGAUCCCUCAUUUUGCUCACAUAGCGGAUCCAUUAUAUGAACUGUUAUGCAAGGGUUACCGAUUUAAAUGGAAAGAAAGGCAUAUUCAGGCAAUACAAAGAUUGAAGAAAUUAUUGAUGUCACCUCCAAUAUUGAGGAAGGUUGAUUAUAAGUACAAUAGACCAGUGGUUCUUAAUGUGGACGCUAGUCCGAUUGCCAUUGGAUGGGCUGUGGGUCAAGAUGAUUCAAAUGGGAAUAGAUUUGCAGUUCGAUUUGGGACUAAAGUUUUAAGUAUUCAUCAGCGUGCAUAUUCGCAAGUCAAAAGAGAACUUUGGAGAGUCGUUUCGGCUAUGAAAGCUGAAAAGGACUAUUUGAUUGGGGCAGUAGUAGUAAUUGAAACAGAUUGCUUGCCAUUGCUUGGAAUGAUUAUUAACUGUUCAACGCCAGAUAUUGCAAUGUUGAGAUGGAUUGCUUAUAUUAAGUCACUAAAUCCGAAAUUUAAGCAUAUUACUGGGAAGGACAAUUUAGUAACAGACAUGCUAUCUUGAGCAAGAUACAAGAGGGAGGACGAAAUGGUUGAAGACAUUGAUGACGUCGGAUAGAAAUUCUAUUCAAUAUCAAAUCUCAACAGAGAAGGCAAGCUAUUUCUUGAAGAAUCUUAUGAAGGAGAAUUAUUGGAUAUUGGUCAUUACUUGAAUACCUUGACUAAGCAGGGGAAUUGAUCUACAGAAAAAUUCAAACAAAUAAGAAAAAAAGCAUAUGGAUUUUUACUUCGAGAUGGAUUCUUAUGGAAGAGAUCGAAGAAAGGAAUUGAAAUGCCACAACGAGUGAUAGGCAAAAGGGAAGAAAAACUAAAAUUAUUAAAGGAAUUUCAUGAUAGUUUAUGGGCAGGGCAUAGAGGAAUCUGGGCUACUUUUGCUAAACUCAAGGAACGAUAUUGGUGGAAAAAUAUGUAUCGAGAUGUGCUCUCAUUUGUAGAGUCAUGUGAAAUCUGUCAAUUGUAUUCUAAUAUCCGACAUCGAGAUGGUCUUCAUCCUACGUAUCCUCUGGCUAUUCAUUUUAAAUGGGUUGUUGAUUUGGUUAUUAUGCCGGUUGGGGUAUGGCAGAUGAGAUAUUUGAUUUGAGCUCGUGAAGAUUUAUCAAAUCAAGUAGAAGGAAGAGCAUUGAGGACAAAAUCUACAGAGGGGAUUUGUAGGUUUUUGCUUGAAGAUGUCAUUUGCCGCUACGGAUGCGUAGGAAAAGUCACUACAGAUCGUGGAAAAUUAAAUGUACAAGAAGUUCGUAAGUUCUUUGAAAGAUGUAGAGUUAAAUUAUCACUAGCUACUGCUUAUAAUCCGGAAGGGAAUGCAAAAAGCGAACGCGGUCAUCCACCAAUUGUGAAAGCAUUAGUUAAAGCUUGUAAUGGGAAAGUUAGAGAGUGGCCACAGCUUUUGUCAUUUGCAUUAUGGACUGAUCGAACAACACAUAGUUCAGUGACAGGAUAUAUGCCAAUAGAACUUAUGACAGGUCGAAAACCAAUUAUGCCAAUUGAAGAAAAGGUACUUACUUGGAGUAUGCUACGAUGGGAAGAUGGAUUGACAAGAGAAGAACUUCUGGCUAUUAGGAUUCGACAAUUGGAGUAAAGAUUGGAAGAUGUGCAGAUAGCAUUGAAAAGGUUAAAAAGAACAAGAUUACAAAACAAGGCGAGAUUCGAUAAGCAACAUCGAUUGAGACCUAAAGCAAUCGAAGAAGAUAUCUGGGUACUUGUUUAUGACAAUAGUCUGGAUAAUCAACAUAGUACUUUGUGGAAAUUUUUAAAACAUUGGUUUGGACCAUAUGUAGUAACAACUGUUCAUGAUAAUGCAACUUACUCAUUACGGGAGUUAGAUGGUACAAAAUUGAAAAUACCAAUUGCAGGGAAGCGAGUAAAAAUAUUUAAACGAAGACAUGUGGAGAUGAAUAUGGAAGACCUUAAUAAAGGUAUAGAGAUUCCGCAGCAAGAAGAUGAAAGUGAUUUAGAUAAUGAAGGUGACGAAGACGAACUGCACAAAGACGUAGAGGAUAUAUUCUGAAUCUAACAGCAAUUGGGUAAAUUGGUGCAUACCGGAGGAUGCACAGGUUCAGAGGGGGUGGAUGUCAUGUUGUAACACGAGUAUACCGUGAAAAUAUAAAGAAAAGGGACUUUUAUUAAUAUUCAGUUACCUCGAAUAUUGGGAGCAACGACCAACUCCAGUACAAAUACUGAGUGGUCAGGUUCAGUCAACCCGUUACGGUCAGCCGGGGCAUACUGAAAUGCUCCGUUCGAUUCCAAUAACGGGAGUUAGCAGGAAGAGAAAGGACCAAUUCACAUGACGGGUGAGCCUCGUUCGAAGAUCCAAUUGGAUCCAAUUUUAAGAAUUCAAUCCGGGUCCUCUUAUCCAAUAUGAGACCUGAAUUGGCCGGGCAACCCAAUGCAGUCUAAUUACGAGAAAAUCCAGGUCUGACUACGGGCUUCAGUCAAUCUCACUUGAAGGACCAAUUUGAUCCAAUUACGGAGACAUCCGGGUCUUAUUACUGGACUCUUAGCCAAUACGAGACCUGAAUUGGUUGGGCGACUCAAUGUGGUCUCGAUUACGGGGUUUCGAUUCUGUUUCAGGCUGUCCUGUUCUCUGUGCCGUUUCAGGGAACGUUGUUUUCGGUAAAAGGAUCUCUUAAAGGUAAAAACGGGGGAGAAAGCUCUGACGGCAAGAGCCAAUUUUGGAUCCAAGCUCUGACGGUGGGAGCCAAUUCUGGAUCCAAGACGAAAGAUUGAAGAAAUUCAGAGGAUAAGGUUAAGGGGGAAUAUAAGUUUUUGGGGAGGUUUUGAAGGAUGGAGGGGGAGUUUUUUGAAGAAUCAGAGAGCUAGCUUCAUGCUUCGGAGUGGGGAAAAAAAGACAGAGAAUUGGAUUUUUUUUUUUUCAUAGGGUGUUGGGAAGACUAAGGCAAUCGUUGCUGAAGUCAGUGUUGUAAUGGUGAAUCAGGAUUUUUAAUGAAGUGGGUUUGAUUACUCUUGACUGUUUUGUGAAAUCGAGUUACGUCUGUGAUGAAGAAUUAAAAGGGUAUCUAUAGGAUUGAGUAUGCGGAGAGAAUGAAAUUUAUUGGGUUAAUCUAACAAGACAGUCAGUGGAUACAAGAUCGUGAGUAUAAAGCGGUAUCGAAGAUUAGCAGUUUGGAUUGUUCGGGGUUCUCUGUAACGUCUAGAGACCUACCGGCUGGGGCAAAAAGGAUUUCGGUGAGCAGUCGAAGGGCAUCCGUAUAGAUUUACAGUGUAUUCUUGCAGUCGUUUAUAUUCCAGCAGCCAAAAACUGAUAGACUGCUUGACUAUUGGCGAAUCUCCAUACUACCUUCUACAGCCAGACGCCCAGCGCGUUCUCGAGCAGGAAAGCACGUAAUACGACAACGCGACAUAGUUAGCUUGCACCACAAGUUACUAAUAUAUGCAAUACAUGGCUAAUUUAUUAGCUUAGCUUCUAACCUAUCAAUUAACUAUAAAUAUGUAUAAAAUCAAAUAUGCGUCUAUAAAGCUUUUAAGAGGAUUUUCCAAAAGAUAAUAAUAAAUCUAUAUACUUUUAUUUUUUAUCUAAUACUUCUUAUUUAGGCCAAUAUAUAUGCCUAUGAAAUAUUUUAAAAGAAUAUUAAUGUUCUUAUUCUCAAAAAAGUCUUGAUAAUCUUAGUGUUGGCUUAGAAUGCCACUUAAAAUCUUUUUUCUAUUAAAAAUAGAUUGAGGGUAUGUAGCAAAAGUUGACAUUUCUUUUGCAGCAUGCAUAAAAGUACUUGAACUUACUUAUAAGGAUUUGAAUAUAUUGGACUUAUAGAUUUUUACUUGACUAGCAAAAUCUUAAAUGAAACUAUAGCAAAAAAAAAUGUUAUAAGAAUUCCAAUCUAUCUAGAGGUUAUAUUUUGUUAGCCAUGAUAAUCCUAAAAUAAUUGAGUUAAAAGAAGAUUUAAUAACAUUAAAUAUUACUAAGCUAUUAUAAUUACUAAUUUCUAUAUGUGUACGAAAAAUUUCAUAGGUGACACCUUUGGAAGACAACAAAUGACCAUCAAUUACUUCUACAUGUACAAAUUUGGUUUUUAUAACUAAGAAUAUUUCUUAUUUUUUCAUAAAAUCUUUGUUUAUAAAAUAGGUUGAAGCUCUUGAAUCUACCAAAGCUAAGACUUUGUGAUUUUUUGAUUCUUAAUAAAUUUCUAUUAUAAAAUAAGAUGAAGGAUAUGAAGAGAAGAUAAGACCUAUAAUAAGUAUUACACAAGAUUCCAACCAUAUAGUUUCUAUUGUAAUUGGAGAAAUUAAUUUUUUGAUAUAUUAUCUUCUUUGGCAACCAUGCUUCUUAAUUUUGUUAUUGCAUUUUUUUUUCAAAUAAUAUUGAGUAGUGUACUUAAAUUCUUCAUAAUAUAUGUACAACUUUUUUUAAUAGCAGUAAGUCUUUUCUUAUUCAAUAAGAAGUUUGAAACAUAUUGUAUCAAUUUGCUAUCAUAGAUAUACAUAUUUACUCUAAUAAUUAUCUAUAUGAUUAUGUUGAAGUAAUUAAAAAUAAAAGAAUUUCAUAAUAUCUUCUAGAAAAGCUUUCUAGUAGGUUUAUUAAUACAACUUUGAUUUUUUACGUAUUCAUAGUUGAUUAAUAGAUUAAAAACUUAGUCAACAAGUUAGUCAUAUAUUACACAUAUUGGUUGCUUAUGGAACAAGAUAACUAUGUAGUAUAAAUAUAGAAAACUUGCCUUACAAGUUAAAAUAUGUAUCUUACAAAGUCAAUAUGUAUUGGAGGUCCUAUAGAACAUUGUCAAGUAGCUCUUAAUUAGAUAGUAUAUAAAGAAGCAAGAGUGAAGCCUUAUUCAUUCUUAUCAAUGAAUUUUUUAAUCCUUAAUUUUGGUUCAAGACUUUUUAGUCUUCUUGUCUUAAAUAAUAGCUAUUCUAAUUCAAUAUAUUAUCAUCUUUGAGUAAUUUUUUAAUCUUCUUGAGUGACAUAAAAGUGUAUUGAGUUUUUCUUUCUUUGAGAUUUAUGUCCUUGACAAUUUAAUAGAAGUCCUAAUUCAUUGGUCUUUUUUUGUUUUAGAAGUGACUAAAUUAUUUUACUACUAUGGUUGUAUUCUUAAAGGUUGCAGACCACCUAUAUUCAAAUUAACUUAUAUUUUUUAACUUUGAUUUUUUUCUUAAGAAAAGUGGAUUAUUUUUUUUAUAGAAAUUUUUAUUUGAUAUUAGGGAUUGUAACCUAUCUUCUUCUAAUUUAACUUUUUCAAUUUAUUUGGAUUGUCUAUAGAAGGAAAAAUUAUAGAUGAUACUCUUAGCAAAAGUGAGAAUAGAUUUGUAACUAUUGUUGAUCUUUAUAAGCUUCUUAAUACUUUUAGGAUAGAAAUCUCACGUAUUUUUAAUAUAAAUCAAAGAAGUAUUAUUUCUACACCUAUUGAAGAAGUUAAUAAUAAAAUUUAAAAUUUGUACCAAGAAGUUAUGUAAUUAAGAGAAGCAAGAAGAUCAAGUUUACAACUAAAUCUAAGGAGCCUUACUACUACAAGUAUAAGACAAGCAAAGAUAAGUAUGUUAGAGAAGUUUGAUAGAAUGAGAUUAAAUUUUUGAGGGUUUUUACAAUAAGUAAAGUUCUAUCUAAGGUUGCAUCCUUUUCAAUAUUUUAAUAGAUUUAUUCAAGUCAAAUUUAAAAAAAUACUUUUCUUUUGAAUAUUUCUUUUUAAUUUGUACCUUUAAUAUAAGAAGAUUCAUAACUAUUCUAUGAUUUGAAUUUAUUUUUCGAAGUAUUUAUGGCUAAAUUUUUAAAAAAUAAUGGAAAAAAGAUUGUAGAAACCAAGUUUAUAUCUCUCCAACAAGAAUGGCAUUUAACCACCAUAUAUAUCAUUGAAUUUCAAAAUCUCUCUUUAGAAUAUAAAAUAGAAUAACAAGUUUCUUAUUAAUUAGUUUUGAUAUGGGUUGAACGAUAAUUCCAAAGAUUUAUUGUUCACAAUUCUAAAAGCAGAUUCAUUAGAGUAAUUUAUUACUCAAGCCAUUGCAUGCAAUAAUCAACUAUUUAAAAAAUAACAAGAAUAAAGAUUUGGUUAAAAAAAUACAAGUCAAGCCAUGACAACACCUUCUAAGUUUUUGGAAGCUUAAUCAUCUAGGCUAGAAUUUAUAAAAAUUGACACGAUAUAUUUUAAACUUCUUUUUGAGCAAAAAAAUAUUCAUUAUUGUCAAGAAGGUAAGAAUUCUUAUAAAAACAAAGGAUCCUUGAUUGCAAGUAGAUUGCAAGAAAGUAUAAUAUUAUUUCAAAUGAACUCAAAUAUAAAAAAAAAUAGCUCAAAGAUUGAAUACAAUUAUUAGAUUGCUUCCUUUCUUAUGCCAAGAUGCACUCAAUUCCUAAUUCUAAUUUCAAAUCUGUGAGCUCUCAAUUAUUCUCUAAAAUUUAAAUUUUUUUUAUUUUCAUAUUUUAUGAUAAUUGAUCAUAUUAGAUUAUGAUUUAUAUAAGUGGAAUUUAGUUUUAUAGAAUUUUUAGAAUUAAAACCUUUGAAGGUAUAAAUUAUAUCCUAACUCCUUGAAUUAAGUUAAUUAGAAUUAAAAUGAUACAAGUUAAAAAAAUUAGAAUAGCAACUUAAUUAAUUUUAAUAAUUUAGAGGUUGUUAAUUACUACUAUGAGGGUUGACUAAAAGCCUAUGAAUGCACCUAUAAUCAUUUCACAUGAUUUAGAAUGAGUUAGAAUUAUAAUUCUCUAAAAGAUUUAGUAAAAUUUAGCAAUGAUAGUUUUGAGCUUUCCUCCAAAUUUGACAAAUUCAAGCAGCAUGGUGGUUCUUCUAAUUAAUGGAAGCCUUUUUAAUGCAAUGGUGGCACCGGAUUCACCCCGUGGAGUGAAGAAAAAAAGAUCAGCACCCUCUCCUUCAAAAUACAAGUGAAGCAAUGAAAUUCUCAUUUUGAAGCAUUUCACAAAAAAUUACCAAUAUCCUUGUAAGUAAAAACUUUCAUGAAAAUUACAAUUGAACAUGGAUUGAGGCAUGUGAGUAGUUGAUAUUAGCAUAAAAAGGUGUUUUGAACACAACGGUGAAGUUAGAUUUACCAAAAAAAUGCUUUCUUGACACUUAAAAGAGCCAUCAGCCUUCGUAACAAAAUUGGUUUUUGGAUGAAUGAGGGCGGUAGAUCUACAUUAGGAAUCUUAGAGACCAAGGGUGGAGAUGUGGCCUCCCUUCCACAACCCACCACUUAAUUGUAUAAGAGUGACUUGGUCCCCCAAGCCCUCUCUCGCUCCUCUUUUGGUAAAGGACGAAGCCUUGCCAAAUUUUGGCCCUAAAUCCUAAUCUUAAAUUAUUAUUUUUUUUUAUUUUUAAUCUCAUUGUAAAAUUUUGGUUGUAUAUGCAUGGAUUUAUAGUAGUAAAUGAUGGACAUUGGGAUUUAAAACAUAGGUCAUUGUGGUAGAUAGUUCCCUUAGCCUCCCAAGUACCCCAAGGAUUCAAGAGCCUCGGAUUUCCCUCAAUCAGUCAUUCAAUUUAUUUAGUUUUGAUGUGAAUUCUUUUUAUAGUUGUAGUUUUUGUUGUUAGCUUUCCAACAAGAUAAGGAUUGCUUGAUUUGGAGUAAAGGGGGGAUUUUGGUAGAAUUUUGAGUGUACAGGGGUCGGCUGCCUUGGCAGUUUAGAUCAACCACCUUUGAAAAGGCAUUUCUCCGUGCCUCUUUAUUGGAUUAUUGUGAAAUUUUGGUAAUAAGUGUAUCUUAAAGCUGAUCUUCUGAUGGCAUAAAUUGCAUUGAAUCCAAAGACAAAUUGAAUUUUUGGUUGAUUUUCAAGUGGAGGGAGGUUACUUGCAGGGGCAAUCUAGAUCAGUUAACUUUGGAGGAGCAAUUCUCACGGCUUAGGUACUAGAUUGAAUUUAAAUUCAUUGGUGCAAGAACGCCUUUAAGUUAAAUUUGCAAUAAACUAAAAAACAUUCAAUUUGGAGUUGAUCAAGAAUUUUGGAAAAUUUUGAAGUAGAAAGGGGUUUGCUGCCCUCAAUUCUUGGGCGUUGUCAAGGUACCUUCACUUUUUUUUUUUCUUUAGCCCUACUUUUAUUUUUAUCUUUACAAUAAUUUUUAACUUCUUUAUUUUAACUUUUAAAUUUUAAUUUUUAAAUUUUAACCUUUAAUCUUCUCUCUUUUAUUUUUAACUUUUAUUUUUAAUUUUUAAUUUUAAUUUUAAUUUUUAAUUAACUUUUAUUUUAUAACUUUUAUUAUUAAAUUUUUAAUUUUAAUUUUAAUUUUUAAUUAACUUUUAUUUUAUAACUUUUAUUAUUAAAUUUUAACUUUUGACUUUAAAAUUUUAUUUUUAUUCAACCUUUAAGAUUUUACUUUUAAUUCAAUCUUUAAGAUUUUUUUACUUUUACUAUGAAUUAAUGGUAAUAAUUUGAUCAAUUACUUCUACCAUCAAUUAUUUAAGAGAUAAUAAUUUAUAAGUUUUAACUAAUUAAUUAUUUAUCUAUUCUAAUUAAUUAUACUUUUGUAAUCACAUAAAAAUUAAUAAUUAUGGAUUAUAUAAAUGAACUUGAAGAAUCCAUUGAGAUUUAAGUGGAGAUCAUGCAAAUAGCCUUGACGAUCAUAAUAAUCUCAUUAAUUUUUUUAUUUUAUUUUAUUUAGAUAACCAUUACUUAGAAGGUUUAAAGUUAAUUGAAUUAUUAAUACAAAGAUUUAAAUCAGUUUAAAAAUUACAUAAUUAGGAGCUCUCUUAUUCUACCUCUUGAACUUAUUGUGUGGCAUCAAUUUCAUCAAAUGGUGAAAUUUGGAUUCACAAAAUCCAAACUUCUUUUCACUAAAAUAUCUAUAAUUUAUUUAUUAUUAAUCCAAUUUAAUAAAAAAAAUCUUCAUUGAGCUUAAAUCAAACUAAAAAUUUUAAAAUAUCAAAGUUAAUAAAUAAAUUUCAAAACAAAUGAGAGCCAAAUCAAAGAAAAAGUUAACUGCUUAUUGUAGCUACAAUCUUCAAAAUCUCUAUCUACAAAUUUACAUAGAUUUCUUUUAUCAUAUCUUAUUUUCUUGAAUGCUAAGACUUAUUGAAAAACUAACAAUAUGAUCUAGCUUUUUUUAAAAUCACAAAACAAAAGAAAAAAAUUGCAAUAAAUGACAUAGAAAAACUUAAACCAAACUUGAAUUUUAUUGCCUCAAAAUUCUAGCAACUCCUCCUCCUACAAAUUUGUAUAGAUCUCUCUUGUCAUAGCUCUUUUUUUCGUAUUCUAAAGCUUAUUGAAAAAUUAAAAAUAAGAUCUAGUCUUUUUCAAAAUUUUAAUAUAAAAAGAUAAAAAUAUAAUAAAUGGCAUAAAAAAUCCAAACCAAUUUUGAAUCUUAUUACUCCAAAAUUCUAGUAACCUCCCGUCCUCUUCAUCUUUAGAAAAAAAAACAUCUUUCUUGAUGCAAAAACUUCCACCUUAAUCUUUCUUCAAUACUUAGCUUAGAUUCUUAUAGAGCCAAGUAUAUUCCUUAAUAGACAAUAUCUUUAAAGCUUGAAUAAUCUAUCUAAGGCAAUAUUCUUCUAUAUUGAAUUCCAUCAUAAUUUAUCAAUAUAUUAGCAUUAUAUUUUUGCUUUCUUACAAAUAAAACUAAUUGUCUUUCAAAUAAAUUUGAUUUAUUUAAAUUAAAUGCAUGACAACAUUAAUAUCAAGAGGAUUUGUACCUAUAUUAUAGAAAAUAUAAGUACAUUACUUAAUAAUAUCUAAAGAAGAAAUGCAAUCACAAAAUAAAGAGCAUGAUUGCCAAAAAAGAUAAUUUAUCAAAAAUAAAAUUUCUCUAGAUAUAACAGAGAUUUUGGAAUUGAAAUCUUAUAUAGUAUCUCAUAAAGGUCUUAUUUUUUUUCAGAUCCUUCACCUUAUUUUACAAUAGAAGUUUAUUUUGGACCAAAAAUCACAAAGUCUCAGCCUUGUUAGAUUCAAAUGCUUCAAUCUAUUUUAUAAACAAAGACUUUGUCAAAAAACAAGAAAUAUCUUUAAUUAAGAAAACCAAAUUUAUACAUGUAGAAGUUAUAGAUGGUCAUUUAAUAUCUUCUAGAGAUGUUAUGUAUGAAAUAAUCUCUUUAGAUAUAGCAAUAAGUAAUCAUAAUAGUUUAGUAAUAUUUCAAGUAAUUACAUCUUGUCAAAGAUAUAAAUCUUAAAGAAAGAAAUCUUUAAUAUACUCUUGUGUCACUCAAAAGAACUAAAAAUUCACUCAAAUAUGAUAUAAUAUUAAACUAGAAUAGAUAUUAUUAAGACAAGAAGAUUAAAAAGUCUUGAAACAAAACCAAGGACUAGAAAGGCAUUGACAAGAGUGAAGAAGACUUCACUCUUGCCUCCAUAUAUACUCUUAACUAGGACCUAUGUAGCAAUGUUCUAUAGGACCUCCAAAAUGUGUUGACUUUGCAAGACACGUAUCUUAACUUGCAAGGUAAGUUUUCUAUAUGUAUGCUACAUAGUUAGAUUAUUUUGCAAGCUACCAACAUACAGUUAACUUGUUGACUAAGUUUUUAACCUAUCAAUUAACUACAAAUACAUGUAAAGUCAAAGCAAUAUUUAUGAAGCUUUUAGAAAGCUUUUUUAAAAAAUAUUAUAAAAUAAAUCUAAUUUUAUCUAUUUCUACUUAAUUAUAUAGAUGAAUAUUAGAAUAAAUAUAUAUAUCCUUGAUAAUAUCUUCCCUUCUUGGAACAAGUUCCACAAAGAAGAAUCUUUAUAUAUUGAAAAAAUCUAAGAUAUGACAAAUCGUAUUUGCUAUAUACAUUGAUCUUUGUUUUCUUUGAAAAUGGUUGAUAAGCCUUCUUAACUAUUGAUAAUGUCCUAUACCAAGGCAAAAAAAUCACCAUAAUAUUUGAUCAUUGUUGAGACCUUUGUAACUUCCUUCAAAUAAAAUAUUUGAAACACUGUUAGAAAUUGUUCCUACCUCUAAUGAAAUCACCAAAUAUCAAAAGUCUCUUUAAAAGUCAUGAUAUCAAAUACGUUAUAUCUUCCCAUCUAUUUGAGGUAAGACAUGUUAUUCUUGAAGAUCUUCAUCUCGAUUACAUCAUCUUAAGGGUUGUAAUAAUUACAAUAUCUUGUUUGAUAAGUUAGCAAAUAAAGGCUCUUGAGUUGAAUCUACUAGUAGUUGAUUCUCUAUCUCUUUAACAUCACAAAUACACAAAAGCUACAAACAAGGAUAAAAGAUAGAAUGCUAUCUUCCUUGGAUCUUAUUUCUUAUAUAGUGAAGAUUUAUUAUUCUUUAUCUUGGUUUUGAUGGAUUUUGUCAAUGAAAAGCCUCAACUCUAUUUAUUGCAUUUGUAAGAUUCUUUGUUGGCUUCCAUGCUUAUUCACUAAUAUCAUUUUUGUACCAAUGAACAAGUUAUUCUAACCUAUUUCAAUGUCGCCUUAAAUUUAAGACUUCUUUUAUCUUGAAUUCUUUAUUAUUAUCCACUUCUAUAAGAAGAAGUGGCAUUUGUCUUAUUUCUGAGAUAUUCACUACCUUAUAUGAUUAAAAAAAAAUACAUGAAAUAUGAGAUGGAUCUUUAUAGACUCUAAUUUAUAUAAUCAAUAAGUAAUAGGAUUGAUUUAUUUACAAAUAGGAAAAGGUCAAAGCCUACAAUAGUCUAACUUGUCAUAAGAAUAUGUAGUCUUAAUAUUACAAUGAAGUAAUUAUACUUUGUCAUCUAUAUUAAAUUUUCAAUUUGAGGAUGAAAAGUUGAAAAAAGCUUUAUAACUACUUUUAAAAUCUUAAAAAAGAUUCUCUAAAAUCUUGAUAUAAAUUCAGUCUUCCUAUCUGAUAUAAUAUCCUUAAGCAAUCCAUGAUCGCGAUAGAUAUUAGCAAGAAAAAGCUUAGUCAUUUCUUUACAUGUGAUAGAUUUUAUAUAUAGUAUAAAAUAUGCCAUCUUGAUAAAAAAAAAUCUAAUAUCAUGAAUAUAAAAUCAUACAAACCUGAGAUUUGAAGAUCUAUAAUAAAAUCUAUAGAAACAAAAGAGUAUAGUUAUUUUGGAAUAGAUAAUGGCUGAAGAAGUCCAUAAGAUUGAUGGCGAGGAAUUUUAAAUCUUGAACAAAUAUCACAUGAUCAUACAAAGAUUUUGACUACCUUCCACAUUUGAAGCUAUCAAAAAUCUCUCGAUAUUAACUCCAAAGUCUUGUUGUAUCCAAAAUUUUUAGCUACUAGAAAGUUAUGACAAGUUUGAAGAAUACGCAAUCAUGCUCCACUUUUUAAAAUUUAUAAUUGUCCUUCAAAAUAAAGUAGAUUGUUUAUAAACUUAAACUUUGAAGUAUUAUGAAAUUUAAAAGAAUUAUUUUUGAUAUCAUAGACAAAAAGAUCAGACGACAUACUUGAUUGAAUUUGCUUGACAAAUAUUGAAUAAAAAAUCAGUGUUGAUUUUAUUGUUCAAAUGUGAAAAUACCUCUACUUCAAGAAAAUUAUUCUUUAUUGAUCAAAAGAUGCAUCUCCUUCUUUUGAUAUAAGAUAAGAAUAUCUAAAAAAGGCAUCUAAAAAAUCUUAUUUUUUGGAUUGAUAAGUGAUCUUAAAAUCAAAUCUUAAUAAAGAUAUAUUCCAAUAAGCUUGGCAAAAAUUCAAAAAAUAUGCCAACAUGAAGUACUUAAGGUUCUUGUGAUUUUUAUACAUGGUUAUUGGACUCAAGGCACCUUUUAAAUAAUUUUUGAAGAAAGAGAAGUUAGAAGCCACAACACUUAGCAUCAACAAGAUUGCAUACAAAAUGAAGUAUGGAGUAAGAUGACUCUCACUUCUAACACUCUUUACUUAUAGCUGGAAUUUACAUUGAUUGUAGGCAAACUUAAUUUUUUUUAUCUUUCUUUCUUUUAUCCAACUAAAUCCUAAAUUCUUCUUGAUCUAGCCACGACUUAAAAAUUCUAGUUGCCUUAGGAAAUGUAAGACAUCCUUGAUUAUCAUAUAUUAUUGGAAUUUCUUCUAAUUGCACUAGUCCAAUGUCUUUUAAGAGUUAUCUUAUCUAAUAUGCUUCUAUUGCACAAUGACUUCCUACCAUGUAUUCAGCCUCUAUAAUUGAUCUUGCAAUAAUAGGUUGUCUCUUGCAAUUCCAUGAAAUGGCUCCGACUCCAAUAAAGAACACAUAUCCCAUUGUGGAUCUUUUAUCAUUUGUAUCUCUAACCAAAUCCACAUUACAAUAUCCUUGCAAAUCAACAUUAUUACCUCUAAGGCAUAAUUUGAAGUUCUUUGUACCUUUCAAAUACCUCAAUAUCCUUUUUAUCAUUGUUCAAUGCAAAGGUCGUGCCUUAAAUAUGUGUUGGUUCAUAACACUUAUACUAAAUGUAAGUUCUACUCUUGUGGCCACUAUUGCAUACAUAAGUGAACCUAUUAUUGUCUUGUAUGGAAUAUUUUGUAUUUCACCUUCAACUUAUGCAUACUCUUCAUCCAUGAACUUCAUCAACUUCAAGUUGGCCUCCAAAGAUGUUCCAAUGGACUUGCAUUCCUCCAUAUUGAAUCGUUUCAAUACUUCUUCAAUGUACUUGGUUUGGUUCAUUGUAAUGGUCUUGUUGCCAUGAUUUUUUAUAAACUCCACUGCUAAAAAAUACUAGAGCUCUCUCAAAUCAUUUAUCUCAUUUUUUUUUUUUACAUGAAUAAUUAUCUAAGUAAAAUAUACUAUAUUUUAUUUUAUUUUUUUGAUAUUAUAUUGCUUGGAUUUUUGUGGUAUUAAAACAAGGUUGUCUUGAUUCUUAUUUGAAGGUAUCAAAAACAUGAACUAGAAGAAGAUGCAUAAACUUGAAAAAUCUGUGUUAAAAGAAAAGUGACAAAAUAACAAUAAAGUAGUAUGUAUAUUAAAAGGAAAUUGGAAUAGCUUUUGCCAAAGGACAAAGAAACUAGAGACUAUUAAAUCUAAACUAGAAGGAAGAAAAGAGUUGAUAAGAGUGAAGAUGGCUCCACUCUUGCCUCUAUAUAUACUAUCUAACUAGGAGCUACAUAACGAUGUUCUAUAGGACCUCUAAUAUGUAUUGACUUUGCAUGAUACAUGCUUUAGCUUACAAGGCAAGUUUUCUACAUGUAAACCAUAUAGUUAGCUUGUUCUUUAAGCUACUAACAUGUAUAGCACAUGGCCAACUUAUUGAUCAUGUUUCUAAUCUAAAAAGUCAAUUAAAGACACCUAUAAAGUCAAAGAAGCAUCUAUAAAGCUUCUAAGAAGCUUUUAUAGAAGAUAUUAUGGAUUUAAUCUACUUUUGUCUAUCAUUAUUUAAAUCAUAUAGGUAAUUAAUGAUUUACAUGUAUAUGUCCGUAACAUUAUUUUCUCUUCUAGAGACAAUUUUCAUAAGGAGCGGUCUUUAUAUAUUGAAAAAUCAAAGAUACGACAAAUUAUAUUUGCCACAUAUUCUAAUCUUUGUUUUCUUCAAAGAUAAUUGAUAGGCCCUCUCAGCUAUUAAUAGCAUAUUAUAUCAAGAUAAAUAGACCACCCUAUUAUUUUAUCAUUGUUGAGGCCUUCAUAACUUCCUUCGAAUAAAAUAUUUAGAACACUAUUAGGAAUUGUUCUUACUUCUAAUGAAAUCAUCAAACAUCAGGGGUCUCUUCCAAGAUCAUGAUAUCAAAUAUGUUAUAUCUGGCCAUCUAUUUGAGGAAAGAUAUGCCAUUUUUAAAUAUCUUUAUUUUGAUUUUGUCAUCUUGAAGAUUAUAACAAUCAUAUUAUCUCAUCUGGUAAGUCUGCAAAUGAAAGUUCUUGAAUUGAAUCUAUUGGUUGUUAGUUCUUCAUCUCUUUAGCGUCACAAAUAUACACAAGCUACAAAAAAAAAAAAAAAAAAAAAAAAAAAAAGUAGAAUGUAAACUUUCUUGGACCUUGUAAGAUUUUUUAUUGACUUCUAUGUACAUUCAUUAAUAUCAUAUACAUGCGAAUAGACAAGAUAUCCCAAUUUAUUUCGGCAUUGUCUUGAGUCUAGAACUUCUUCUACUUUAAACUCUUCAUUACAGUCUACUUCUAUAGGAGAAAGUAGAGCUUGUCUUCUUCUUGAUAUAUUCAUAGUCUUAUAUGAUUGAAGAAGAGACACAUAGAAGACAAGAACAAACUUCAUUGCCUUUGGUAGAUGUAAUCAAUAAGCAAGUGGAUUGAUUUAUCCACAAAUAAAAAAUAAAAAAUAAAAAAUAAAAAAAUAAAAAUAAAAAAAUAAAAAAAACCCAAGCCUGCGAUAGUCCAACUUAUCACAUGGACAAAUAAUCUUGAUAUUAUGAUGAAGAAAUCAUACUUUAUUGCUUACAUUGAAUUAUCAUUGUAUCUUUUGAUAGGCAUCAGUGUUGAUCUUUUGUCGUUCUUGAGCUUCCUUUAAUUACACCUUCAUUGUUGCAUGUAGCUCUGAUAAAUAAUUUGUCAAACCUUCUGCCACAAGUUUAUCAACUUUUGAAAAGUCAAAAGUAUCAAAUCAUGGAUGAUAACCAUAAUUGGUAAAAAAAGAUAUUUUUUAUAUAGAAGAAUGCAUCAUAUUAUUAUAAGAAAACUUUGCCAAUAGCAAGAGGGUUCUUCAAUUGUCUUAUUGAUAAUUGAUGGUACACCUUAAGUAUUGCUUCAAAACUUGGUUUACGUACUUUGUUUAUCCAUCAAUUUAAAGAUAAAAGAUCAAAGAAAGCUUUAUGUCUACUUUUAAAAUCUUAAAAAGAGUUCUCCAAAAUCUUGAUACAAAUUGAGUCUCCCUAUGCAAUAUAAUAUCUUUCAACAAUCUAUAAUAUCCAUAGAUAUUAUCAAAGAAAAGCUUGGUAGUUUUUUUACCUAUGAUAGAUUUUGGGCAUAGUAUAAAACAUGCCAUUUUUAUAAAAUGAUCUACUAUCACAAAUAUAGAAUCAUACGAACUUGAAACUAAAAGAUUCAUAAUAAAAUCCUUGAAAAAUAGAAGACCAUGGUUGUUAUAGAAUAAGUAAUGGUUGAAGAAGUCCAUAAGGUCGAUGCCAAGGAGAUUUUGACCUUGAAAAAAUAUCACAUGAUUAAAUAAUGACUUUUACAGCUUUCCACAUUUGCGACCACUAAAAAUCUCUAAAUAUUAAUUUUAAGGUCUUUUUGUAUCCAAAAUAUCUUGCUGCUAGAAAGUUAUGACGUGCUUGAAGAACACAUAAAUAUACUUCUAUUUCUAGCACAUAUAGGUGUCUUUCAAAAUAAAGUGGGUUGUUCUUGAAUUCAAACUUAGAAAUAUCAUGAGACUUAAAAGAAAUAUUCUUGAUAUCAUGAACAAGAGGAUCAGAGGACAUACUUAAUUGAAUUUGUUUAAGAAAAGUUGAAUCAACAGUUAAUAUUGAUUUCACUGCUCAAAGAUGAAAUUGUUUUCAUUUCAAUAAAAAUAUCUUUUGUCAAUUAAAAGUUGCAUUUUCUUCUUUAAGUGCAAGAUAAGAAUGUCUUGAAAGGACAUGAGACAAACUUUGUUCUUUUUCUCCCUGAUAAGUAAUAUUGAACUCAAAUCUUGACAAAGACAUACUCUAACAAGCUUGGCAAGAAUUCAAAACAUGAGCUGAUAUAAAAUACUCAAGAUUCUUGUGAUUUAUAUAUAUGGUGAUUGGACUAGAAGUGCCUUCUAGAUAAUGAUGCUAUGCUUGGAAAGAAUCCAUAAUUAUAAGAAGCUCUUUGUUGUGGAUCCCAUAGUUAAUCUUAGCUACUGAAAGUAGAAGAAAUCUUAGAUUCAAGACAAUAUCAAAAUAGAUUGAAAUAUCUUAUUCAUUGAUGCAAGUAUGAUAGUAGUGAAUAUGCAUAGGAGCCAACAAAGAAUCUUAUAAAUGCAACAAAAAGAGAUGAGGCUUUUCAUCAAAGGCAUCUAUCAAAACCAAGAUAAAAAAAAAUAGUAAGAUCUACAAAAGAUAAUCACUGCUCCUCAUGAAACUUGUUUUUAGAAGAAAAAAUAAUGUCAUUGACAUAUAUAUUUAUUUCAAUAAUUAUCUAUAUGAUUAGAUAGAAAUUCGUAAAUAUAAAUCAAUUUCAUAAUAUCUUUUAAAGAAGCUUCUUAAAAGCUUUAUAGAUACGAUUUUGACUUUACACAUAUUUGUAGUUGAUUGGUAGAUUAGAAACUUGAUCAACAAGUUAACCACAUGUCACUUAUGUUGAUAGCUUGUCGAACCAGUUAAUUAUGUGGUGCACAUAUAAAAAACUUAUCUUGCAAGUUUAAACAUAUAUUUAGUAAAGUCAACAUGUGUUGAAGAUCUUAUAGAACAUUACCACAUAACUUCUAGUUAGAUAGUAUAUAUGGAGGCAAGAGUGAAGUCUUCUCCACUCUUGUCAAUACUUUAUUAGUCUUUAGUCUUAUAUCAAGACUUUUUAGACUUCUUGUCUUUGACAAUAAUGAAUCUAGUUCAAUAUAUUAGCAUCUUUGAAUGGUUUUUUAGUCUUUUCAAGUGAUACAAGAGUAUAUUGAAGAUUUAUUUUUUCUAGAUUCAUAUCCUUUAUAUUUAAUAAGCUUCAAUAAGAUUAUUUUUAUGCUAGUAUAUAUAGAAGUAAGACUAAAGCCAUCUAUUAUCUUGUCAACUCUCUUCUUAUGUUUUAGUCUUGGUUUAAGACUCUUUAGUCUCUUUUAAGUUUGCAAUAGUUAUUCUAAGCACCUUUGAGUUGCCAAACAUCUUGUUUGUUAGGUUUUGAGUAUCUAUAGUUAUUUCAUUUUUCAUAAGAAUAUCUUCAAUAUGGAAUUGAAUAGCUUUAUUAAUUCCAAUUGGAAGUCAAAAAAAAAGAGAAUGGAUGGAAGAUAGAAGAAAAGAAAACUUACAAAAAGAUUGAUCUUACUUAUUUACAAUAAAUUGAAAAUAUAUUUGAUUUUAUGUUUAAAAGAUUUUUUAUCAUAAAGACUUUAAAAAAAACAUAUAAUGACUAAAACUUCAUUAAUUGAGGUUAAAUAUGUCGACCUAUUUAUUGUAAUAAUAGAUGCAAUAGAAUUAAAAAAUCUUCUAUGAGAUUUUGUAGUCAAAAUUUAUCAAUUUUUUUUGUAAGUUAAAUAAAAUUAUUUAUAAUAAUUUAAAUAAAAAUACCAAAUAUCAUGUCAAGAUCCAAAUACAUAAGAAUAUGUUAUUACUUUAUAAAAUAAUAUUUUAAAAUAUAUCUAAAUGUAUGUAUAUAAAUAUUUUAUUCUAUUUUUAUUAUAAAAUUUCCAUUUGCUAAUAGAGGUCUUUGCCAAAAGGUUCUUUAAAAUACAUCAAUUCAAUCUAAAUGUAAUUAUCAAUGUAGAAGAAUAAUUUUAAAAUAUACCUUAUAAAAAAUUCUAAUAAAUUACUAUGCCCAAUUCUUAUUGGAAAUAUUAAACUUUUAUCAAAAGCUUCUGAUUUUUUUUAAUAGUAUUGUGUUUUCUUGGCUAUCUUGCUACUAUUCACUUAUUUAUAAAAGAGUUAGUUGUGGCACUUUUAUUAGUUUUUUUUUAUAGAUGUAAAUUUAUAUUUAUAUUAAGUACAAGAAAAUCAUAUAUUUUUAUUAUAUACUAGUCAAAAAUAAAGAAGAUCAGAAGAACUCAAUAAUUUAUUUAUUUUUUAUCAAAACAACAAGCAAUAUAUUUUAUCAAAAAAUAAAUAUAAAAAACUGAGUUUUCAUAGAAUUGCCUAAAUUGUGUUGUUUGUUUGGCUUAAAGGUUCUUACAUGGAAUUUUGACUAAAUAAUAGCUUAAGUAAGUAUUGAAGAUUGUUUUUCUUGAAGAUGCUCUCUAUUGUCAUUGACAACUAUUUGUAGUUUUUGAGUUUGGCAAGCAUUAAUAUUUGCAAAAAUACAUUCUUAUAGCUACAAAUUACUUUACCUUAAGUGAGUGGAUAAGAACAAAUUACACUAAACUUGUUAACACAAUCUUUUAGGUUAGUUAGGACACAAUAAUUGCUUUUAGGUGUCAUUUUAUACUAAUAAAUUCUAAAAUAUAAUAUUCCAAAGUAAAGAAAAAAAAAAUAUUGUAUAAAUCACACAAUUCACCAAGAGUUCGAGCUUUAAAGAUAACAGUGAUAUAAUCACUAUAAUGACUUGUUAAUUGAUGUAUAGAAAGAUAUAAGAGUUAAUUCCACUAAUUCUUUUAGUUGCUUUGGUAGGACUUCCAAACUUGUGCACAAAGAAUAAAAGUCAUCCUUACAUUUACAUCUGCUUGUUCAUAUUAAUUACUAAAUAUAUUGUUUUGAACCCAUGCAUUUUAUGUAUGCUCAUCACUUUCAAUAACUUUGGAUUACAUAAUUUGUGCUAAGAAGCCCAUUCGUUCCAUUUCUUAUUCAUACAAUUAUGCAGUUACCGAAACAACAAUAGAGAUCAUUCAAACAUAUGCCGCACAAGGAACUCAAAACAAUCAAAGGCAAGACAGAAGCGAGAGAAAAGUGAAUAUGAUACCGGCUUGUACUAGUGUUUUCAUUGACGUAUGAACCAAGUAAUACAGUAUCCUCAAACGUGGCCUAAAGGGUUAUGUAGAAUCAACUCCAGGGGCUAGUAGAAACUUCAGGAUGCCACAGCCGUGACCACUGUUGUUUCAAUUAGAGUGACAGAAUGAAAGGACAUAAUACCAGAGGCGUCGCUAAAAUUGUGUACAGAAAGAAAGUAAAGGAAAUAAAAAAAUAAAAAAGAAGUAGAAAGCAAAAAGUUCGGCCUGGCUGAAGAUGAGACCACUCUCUCUACCCUUGCCACAGAUAUCUACUCUUUCCCCAAAAUUGAGACCUAGGUCCACUACAUUGUACAAAAUUGCCUACAAAGGGUCUACAUCGCCACUUAGCACUUCGAGUGUACUCGUCACUGCAGCAUCAAUCCUCACCUCCGAAAUUAUAUACAAGAGCAACCAAAGUUGAUUGCCUCUGCCCGUGUUUGAAUGGUGAUCUCAUCAUUAGAUGUUGAGUAAUGCGUUUGAUGAAUAAACAUCUUUACAACUGCUGAGGAUGUGGUGGUAGACUUCGAAUAGAAAUAGCCAAAACUUGACAAGGAAAGAAAAAAUUUGUCAAGAUUGAUUUGAUAGACUCCGGCAAAUGAUGUCAAGUGACCAAAAUAAAGGUAGCUCUGGUCCAGGUGGCGACUGUCACGACAAUCUAGUUCAUGAAAUAUCGACCAUUUUGAACGCCAUUCCAUUUCUCGGGUCCCCAUUUUUUCCAAUUCACUAGGCGUCCCAGGAAUUCCAUAACCUGCGGGAGUAAUCUCUGUGUCAGAAAAGUUACACAACAUACUGAUGAACAGAUUUGACAAACUAUGUGCAUUCAAAUAUUGGCUGCACAAUACUGAAUGCUGUCACAGGAAAGAAAAAGAAGUACCUCUGAAGGUUCUCGAAGCGAAAGAGUGGCCUUCGUUGACUUAGGGAUGGAUGAAACCAAAAUACUACAGCCGUGCUUCAUACCAUUCAGCAACUGAACAUCACAAUCGGAGCAUAUUGUGAGUUGCGACAAUUUUUUCAAAUUGUUUAUUGGUCAACUAAAUGAAGGGAGAAAAAAAAUACGUUUUUUACAAAGUUUAACACGAUGUUGAUAGAAUUGAACUAAACAUCACUACCCAAGUUUUGCAGAGCAACCAAACAAAACCUCUGCAGAUAUCAAUUCAAUCAUUUCUGUUAAUACCUUGAAGGCAUCCUCAUCUGUUCGAUCAUCUCCAAUAUACACAGGUAGAACAUCACUUGAAUCAGCAAAACCUGCAAGUUCAAUUUACAUUUUUUUUUUCGGUAUUAGACCCAGUUUUGACACUUUAGGACUGAACUCAACGACAUUUGACAGUUGCAAUCAUGUAACAUGGGUUUUCUAGGCAAUAUUGCUUAUCAGUGGAACUGCACGUACCAAGAGAAUUCAGAAGAUAGUUUACAGCUUUGCCUUUGUCCCAUGCAAUGGAUGGGCGUACCUCCAACACCUGAUCAUUAGAUGCAAAAAUACAUUCUCAGCACAAUUUUGAGCACAAUCCUUACCAAAAACUGUAUGACUGAGGAUCCUUCCAGAUUGCAAGAAUAAAAUAAAAUAAAAUAAAAUAAAACUGUACAAUCUGCAUACCUUUCGGCCAUGCGUGAGGUUUAACAUAGGGUACUCUUUCAAAACAUUUUGAACUUUUGUCACAAGUCCCUCCCAAAGCUGCACCAUAAAACCAAAAACAACUUCAUCGGAUGACUGUUCUUGUAGAAUUAUAUGCAUAGGUCAAUGCUGCUAAAGUGCGGCUUCGAUUGUGUUCAAGGCAUUAAGACCUCAAGCAAAUUAAACAUUCAAUCAGACGGAGUGAGAUUCAAUCUCAAAAUACCUCUUCCUUCACAAGACGGAAAUGAACCGUCACACAAUACUUGUUGUGUUCAACCCGAGCACCCUUGACGGUUCUUGUGGUCUCGUUCAAAAUACUGCAAACCUGCAUGCAUGCACAGGGAUCGUCAAUCAACUUCAUUUUUGCAAAUGAAUGGAGUUGAAUAUCUGCAACAGUCAUUUUGAGUUGUCAUCCUAAGCAGCCACACCCCCUCUACAUUAUUACACACCUUACUGCGUAAUUGUCCAAUAUCAUCAUUAAAAAAAUACCAGAAUCUAAGUGCGUACCUUGUCCAUCAUUGGAAGGUAUUCGCUUGCAGGCUGGAAGAAUACAACAUCAUUACCCUGUGCAAAGAAAAUCUUUGUAAGCAGGAGUAGACAAUUAAAAUAAGCUUACGAAGGACAUAUACACAGGUGUCAUGUAUCGGUCUCAGAUAUGAACUUGGCAGUAUAAGUCAAGUCAUGGAACUCACCUUCUUGUCUUUAACUCGAGUUCCGUUGACUUUAAAACCACUUGAACUUUUCGCAGGACCCAUUAUAUCCAUUCCAUGACUUCCCGCGUAGUACAAUUCCGACAGUUGCACAAAAUCGUAUACCUGUUCAAAAAUAGAGUAAUACGCCCACAUUCAGUUGGCAUGAAUCACUAUGAUAAAAAAAAAAUUAAAAAUGUACCAAUGCGAAGGAAGAAUUGAAGUACGAUGGCCACCCACUAAAUAUUUUCCAUGACCGAGGAAACUGCUAUGAAAAGAACGACCGAAGCCUCACCUUCGGGCGAGCUCUUCCACUGAUAAUUGCUGUUGGAAAAUAAGUUGCCAACUCCUUUACUGUGGCCCGCAUCUGUGACAAAGCAGAGAGGUUGAGCAAUCGUGAAGACGAAGAAUGUCAAUAAUUCACUGCAAUAGUACUUCAUGAUAGCAGAAAUACAUCACAAGUAAAAACUCAAAGUUGCAACUGCUACGAACCCUCUUUCACUUUACUGUUGUAGAUGCUUUGAAAGGCAAGCUCACCUCGUCAGACAUUAAAGCCCGGUCUGGAUUGUCAACGAUGGGUGAUAGAGUACCAUCAUAGUCGAGAAAUACAACUAUUUGCUUGGACUUUGCAUGCUUUACCACUUUGUCAAACGAGCUCAAAGCUGAAGGAUGCUUGUCCUGUUAUUCACGAGAAGAAUUGUUCAAAAAUGUCCACUUCCAAAAAGAUUCUAACCUUUUUCAUCUAAGUAGCCAAGAUCUUCGACCUUAGAGUAAACAUUGAUCACUUCAAACAGGCAGGAAAAAAUAGAGGAAGGUUUUAAAAACAGAAAAAAAAACAAUAUUCUAUUGAGUUAAAUAGCAAUACAAAUAAAAAGUUAUAGAGGUGCUUACGAGCCACGCGGAGUACGCCGCUGUCUUGAUCUCAAAAGCUUCAGGAGCCUCUUCAUGUGGAGAGCGAAAUCGUGGUGGUGACUGCGACCUCAUUGCAUCGACCCAUGUAAUCAAAUGACCCUUGUCAGCAUAAGGUCCAUGCUUCUUCGGCACGGCAACAGCCGUAGAUUUUAUGGAAAUCGAGGUUCCAUUCGUUGCUGCUGGCUUCAAAGAGGAAUUAGUCAACAGCGAUACUGUUCCUGCGCAUGGGGUGGCUGGAGACUCUCCACCGAGAGUUGCUCGCUUGGACCUUAAUGACAUACCACCCACCAUUCCUUCUCCUAGUGUAGACAAGCUCGCUCGUAGCAAGCCUACUUCUGCACUUUCAAUGUUUCCUUGAUCGAAUCUAUUGAAAUUAAUCGGACAAUCCGGUUCGCACUUGUAAAUCAUGCUCGUUACCUUCUUUGUCCGACUGGAAAUAGUCAGAAAAAUGCGUUCCUUGCUAGUACUUCGACUCCUUCAAUCAAAGAACUUACUUCGACUAUUUUCCAGUGCUAAAAUAUUUGUUUAUCUCAGUGAACUAAUAUUAGCUCUCUCCACUCUGCAUACCGCUGGUAAACAAUCUGAGUCAAAGUCGUUUCAGCAGGUAUGACGCAAAUAAACCUGCACAAAUGCACCGAGAUCGACAUUGAGAAGUCUGAAAAAACAUCUCUUCAAUUUCUGCUGUGAAACAGCGGUGAAUUUAGCAUCCUAAGAUUUAGCGACAGAGACACUUUGAAACGUUCCUACAAAUGUGAUGGUCCUAUACUACAUGAGGUGAGGUAUGGAACAAGACAUAAUCACUGCCAAAACGUAAGGGCAAAGGGAUUCAUCGACAAAGAGCCUUCACGGAAAAGACUCCUCACAAGCAUCACAUGAGAAACUAGAAUCUUGAUUUUCCUUUGAAACUGGAUUGUUAACAUUGCAUGUAUCGUUUCAUUGAGUCCCGAUAAGCCCCCUACAAUGAAGGUGAACAUAAGACCCCAGAACCUUCUUCCACUGUAUAAAUGCCAAGAUAGUUCUAAACGCUAGCGGCAAUUUUUAUGCACUGUCGGAAGGACCUUGCAUGCAGAGGACCUAGCAGAUAAUUUUGGGGGAAAUCUAUGUGUUUAUUUUUUGAACAAAAGACUCAAUUCUCCAACGCCACAUAGCACAAAAGGCAAAGGGCUAAAAAGUUUUCUAAAAAUCUUGUUAAAGCCAAUCGUAACAUUCAGUCCAAAUAAUCAAGGAAGAUUCCCUAAAAAGCGCGGAGAAUAUUGUCCAAGGAUGGGGACCAUGUGAGGUAGGAAUGCAGUUGCAAAAAAAUAAAAAUAAAAAUAAAAACUACAAUUCAUCCGAGUAGAUCACGAGACUUGAAAGUCGCAACAAAGUAACGGACAAAAACUGACAUGCAACACGUGGUGCAAGAACGAUGACAACAACGUGCCGCUUCAUAUUCGCAAGUUCUUGCAUAUAUUAUGCUACAAUCCUUUGAAGUCCUGAGUGCAAAUUUUCACGGGUACGUACCUGAAUGACAAGCUGUGAUCCAGUUAGAAUGUCGAAAAAUUAGAGCCUGUAGAAACUUGCUGGAAGAUUUUCACUGCAAGCAGAAGUUGUUCGUCGCUCUAUAACUGUCCCUGAAGCUGGCAAAUAAUCACGGAAAUAGUUAGUCCAUGCCUCUGAAGUCGGCUCACAGCUGCGUACCUCGUGCUAAAAUAAACCACCACACCAAAUAUUGAUAAAAGAUUUCAGAGUGACUCCGCUUAAGUCCAACAAGUUCUUUGCAAUUUCCUCAAACAAUGCCAGUUCAAGGACGUGACAGAGACGAUGAGGAGGUAAAGAUUUGAGUGGUAGUCUUCUAAAAAUUAAAUCCUCAGAACCGUGGAAUAAGCCUAACGACAACGACAACCCAAAACAACGAAACCAAGCGUACUCACAACCUCGGACUCAACACUACCAAACAAGAGUAAUAAUGGAGGAACUAGAAAGAAACCAGGACCCGCUCAUCACCAAAGACCGCGCGUCCGCAAAACUGAGGUCCGACGUGCCCAAGUGCACAAUUGCAAACUACACCUAAACGCAAUUUCCUCUCUGCUAUCUCGCAUACGCCAAAUUUGAAAUCUACAACCAGUACUCGUUUGCACUGCACAACUAAGAAGUCAUACGUAUGAAA